GUUGGAGCGUCCUGUUUUAAACGUUGGAUCUAACAGCGCAGUUUGUUCAAAACAGACAUAUCACCCAAACCACAGAAGGAAACAAAACAAAGAGAUGGACAAAGAACUUAAAAACGGGAGAUAAGAAGAUAACCAGCUUGAGGUUCAAAAUCAAAGUCACGUGAAGGUGGUACAUGUACGGAAAGAAAGACAGAAAACCGAACAUGGGCUACUGAGCUGCCCCUCACAAUCCCCAUAAAAGCACCAAGUUCAUAGCAACCAAAUCAGUGAGGUAAAAAUAGAAAAGAAAAUGAGCCGUCCACAUAUUUUGGUAAUGCCAGCUCCAGCACAAGGCCAUGUAAUUCCUUUACUGGAGUUUUCACAAUGUCUGGCAAAACAUGGCUUCCGAGUCACAUUUGUUAACACGGAUUACGAUCACAAGCGGGUAGUGGAAUCAUUGGAGGGAAAGAAUGAUCUUGGGGAGCAAAUCCAUUUGGUUUCGAUACCAGAUGGAAUGGAACCCUGGGAAGAUAGAAACGAUUUGGGAAAGCUAACUGAAAAGUUUUUACAGGUUAUGCCGGGGAAGCUGGCGGAGCUCAUAGAAGAGAUCAACAGUAGAGAAGAUGAAAAACUUGAUUGUUUCAUUGCAGAUGGGUACAUGGCUUGGUCUAUGGAAGUAGCAAAAAAGAUGAACGUCAGGGGGGCUCUCUUUUGGCCUUCAUCAGCAGCAUCAGUGGCCCUGCUAUUUCAUAUCCCCAAACUUAUUGAUGAUGGAAUCAUUGACAGUCAUGGUAUGAUUCCAUGUCAUCUAAUUCCUUACUUUCCUCCAGCAAACUUUAAUUUUGAUGCAUGUCAUAGUAGAAGUUUACUUUAUGCUACUGUUAUUUUCUUUGUUUUGUAUUCAACUUCAGGAACUCCUAUGAGCAAGCAGAUGUUUCGGAUUGCACCAAAUAUGCCUGAAAUGAACUCUGGGGACUGUUUUUGGACAGAUAUGGGUGAUUUGACCACGGAGAGAAUUCUUUUUGAUUUAGCGGAUAAAGACUUAAAAGCCAUGAGAGCGGUAAAUUUCCAGUUGUGUCACUCAACGUAUGAGCUCGAGGCUGGGGCAUUCACCGUGGUUCCGGACCUUCUGCCAAUAGGACCACUUUUGGCAAGCAACCGUCUAGGGAAUACAGCAGGACACUUCUGGCGCGAAGACUCAAGCUGUUUGGAGUGGCUAGACCAACAGCAACCAAGCUCUGUCAUUUACGCUGCUUUUGGCAGCUUUACAAUUCUUGACCAAGUUCAGUUUCAAGAAUUAGCAUUGGGACUAGAACUUUGCAACAGACCAUUUUUAUGGGUUGUGAGGCCAGAUAUUACCACCGAUGCAAAUGAUAGAUACCCAGAAGGAUUUCAAGAGAGAGUUGCUGCUCGAGGACGGAUGAUCGGCUGGGCAACUCAGCAGAAGGUUCUUAACCACCCUUCUAUUGCCUGUUUCCUGAGCCAUUGUGGUUGGAAUUCCACCAUGGAAGGUGUCAGCAAUGGCAUUCCUUUCUUGUGCUGGCCAUAUUUUGCUGAACAAUUCCUGAACGAGAGAUACAUUUGUGAUAUUUGGAAGGUGGGAUUGAGGUUUGACAAAAACGAAAGUGGCAUCAAUGGAAGAGAAGAAAUUAAGAACAAGGUGGAGCGAGUGCUCGGUGAUCCAGAUUUUAAAGCAAGGGCUUUGGAACUCAAGGAAAAAGCCAUGAGUAGCGUCAGAGAAGGUGGUUCCUCUCGCAAGACAUUUCAGAAUUUCCUUCAAUGGGUAAAGACAAACACCCUAGCUCAUAAUUCCCCGGUAAUGGGCGGUUAAUUCAAAAAAUACUACCUUCGUGGACAAUUAUAUAAGGAUUCCUUGGCCAUUGUAACAUCUACUUUUUCAGUUUUUUUAUUAAGUUUAUAGAGUUCAGGAAUAUUUUAUUUAACCGAGUUUUAAUUUAAUUUGUUUUCCUAUUUUAUUUAUUAUUAGCUUAUGAGAAGAUACUGGUCAGAUUAGCGGUUAAAAAACUGAGAUAGGAUGCUGGUGUGGGAGGAGACUAAGCCUAAAAGUAGCCGAUAUAAUAUUUAGAUCAAGCUCGAAAUCAUGUUAUUGUUUCUUUUUAUUUUAAGAGGAUGACAUACCUUUUUAUUGUUUCAUACGCCUUGCUGCAGAUGAAGGAAUCUGCACCAGGAAUUCGAUCAGUGCUGUGCAAAAGAAGGGAUGAGGAAAAUUGCAAUCAUAUGAAACAUUUUGAUCAGCAGGAGUUGUAGCAGAGUGCGAUGCUAAAAUAUGCAUUGCUGUAAAAGAGAGAAGAAAAAUAAGUUAAAACGAAUGAUAACGAAAUGCCUUCUUACAUAUGAACAAACCGGGGCAAAUUGAAUUCUUGAAAGUGUCAGCACCAGCUGGCCAUGCAAAUAUUUAUUGAUCACCGUUCUAUUAUAUAGCCAAUUCAGCUCCUUUUUUUAACUUCACAAAGCAACGUGCAAAUUGGUCCUAAUAUUUGAAUAUGGCAGCGGCAGCAGCAGAAAGAAAACAUGAGGCUCUAAGAGAUGAUCAAGGAAUGUCGGUAUCGGUAGAAGAUCACGAAGUGAAUGAAGACAUACCUGAGGCACACGAUGCUGCAAUGAAAAUUGAGAGGGCCAAGGGAACUUACAUGGCCUACUCAGGGCUGCGAGAAAAGCCAUCGAGGCUUGAAAUUUGAACACUUCAAUGUCACAACGGUUGUGCCGGCUGUUUUUCCUCACAUCAUCAGUGAACUUGUCUCUAAAAAUGAUGAUGGUGAUGAUCAAGGUUGGGGACAAACCCCAAGUUGGGCAUUGCUUGUAUUCUCAGAGAGAUCAAACUGUAGUUCUUUUUCUAGCUACAUCUAUUGCUACUUAGUAGAACAUUCAAUCAAAAUUCUAUAUAUACAAAGAACAUGAGUGUAACUUACACAAAAAGUUGGAUUAAAGAUCGAAUUGAUUCCAAGAUUCUUAGCACAAAAAGAGUAAAAAACGUAGAAGAUGCAAUUAUGCAUAUUUAAUUUUAUUAAGGGAGAAUGAAUUUCUCAUUCUUAGUUUUACCUUUUGGCUCAAAAUAUUGACAAGAAAAAAAUAUUGUUUUAAGGAUAAAUGUGAAUUUUUCAUAUACAAAGAGAUUUACUAAUUAUGCUAUAAAAAAUUUAUCUGAACCCAAGGAACAAAAACAACUUCUUAGUGGGAAUAAAGUUUCAUUCAUUCUCCUUUAAUUAAAUCAUUAGUCGAACUCUUACUUUUUAUUAAUUAUUUCUUAAACUUGAGUGACCACGGGUAUAAAGUGCAUUCAUGGCCAGUCAAACUAGACAUAUGGUCAGUUUUGAAUGUGUCCAUAUUUAGUAUUUUGAAAUAUUUUUCAUAUAUUGCAGGUAUGAUUGACUAACACACACAUCAAUAUCAACGAACAAUCUGAAUCUCUCAGCAAUGGAAUGGACUUCAAUUUCAUGGACUUCAAUUUCAUUUCAAUUUCAAUUUCAAUUUCAUAUUUUCUGGCUAGUCCCUUCCUUGGCUUGAUCUCCAAGCAACUUGACCAUGGCUACAACCCACAACUCAUUGCUAGGGCUGCAACUGCCAUCUGUCCCCUCUUUUGUCUCCCUGUUGGCUUCAUUAAAACCCCAUACAUCUUCCUAUUUUAUAUUGCAGCUAUUGUUGCAUUAUACAUUGUUGCUUCAGCCUCCCACACUCGCCAUCUUGGCCUUAUGGUUCGCCGCUACACUGGACGACCAACACUUAAACUCUGAAAAUUCCCUACUAGAAGAGGCGUCUCUGGCUGGUUCUCGGUAUACGCCACUGCUGCUGGUGGCUUAGGCUCUGCCAUUUUCUCUGCUUUCACUUACCAUAUGCUUAGGAACAAAAAUGACCCAUUUGAUAGCCUCUGGGUUGUGUCCAUUUUCAGUGGCCUCAAAUGGCUCGUUGGUAUGCUCCAUGUUGUCACACUAAGGCCAGUGGCAAUCACCAACACGACUUCCUCUGUGCCCAAAUCAUAUUUCCUGUCCCUUUUCAAAUAUCCUUAUGCGAUUGCAAGCCUAAUUGUGAUCUUCAUGUCAUCAUUUUCAUCCACGUGCAUUUUCACUGGGGGGUUAUUGUUUUUACUGGGUCAAUUGUGCCUUAAGCCAAUAUUCUUCCUCUACUUCUGGUUAAUUUACUUCAUCUUCCCAUCAUUUUCAAUGCCAUUACUGCAACCAUUACAGCAUGUUAUCAAAGCAGAUGCUGUGAGAAUGCAACUUCUAGGUUUCCUCUUAGCUCUGUUGACUUCAGGUAUGGGAUUCUACUACAAGGAAAAGAACUGGCAGAGGCACCAUGUACUGCUUUUUGCUGCCAUUCAAAGCACUUCUGCAGGGCUUUUGCAUGCUUUCGGGAGAGUUUUGUUGUUAGAUUGUACACCACAUGGCAAAGAAGGUGCUUUUUCUGUAUGGCACUCGUGGGUAAAAGCACUAGGAACUUGUACUGGCUUUGCUGUGGCAUCAGCGAUCAGGGGAAAUGUGAGCACUGCUUUUGGGGUUUCAUUUUUGGCUGCUACGAUCGAGAUUCUUAUUUUGAUUUUUGGGAACAUCAGUGAUGUUGGUGGAGCCAUGGCUGCUGGGCAUCUUUAUGAAGAUAGUGAGAAGGGAUCCCCAGUGCCUGGUUUAGAUACCAGCAUUAUUAUAAAGGAACAUGCUCAGCCUCACGAAGAAACUGCUUAAGUAAUGCAAGUGAACUUUCGCAAAUAGUCAAUUCUGUUAUCUUUUAUAAGUAAAUAACUAAGGCAUAUAUGAUUUUCAUUUUUUCAUCCUUUUUUAAUUUGGUUCUUUUUUUCUCUUUUGGUUGAAUAAGUAUAUCCCACAUUCUGUUAACUGUAAACAACUUCUUGUGUGCCUUUUACACUUUUAUUGGUCAUUGCUUUGAAUUAAUGUAAUAUUGAUUUAACUGAAAUGAUAAUUCUUUUUUUUUUUGUGACCUUAUCAUUUCCUAAACUCGUUUAAUUAACUGGCAUAUUAACUUAUGUGACAUUGGUAUAUAAAAUUCUAUCAAUAAAAUUGUAUGCACUAUAGCAAUACGCGUAAUGACACCAAUUUUUUUAUGCACAGGCAUUGCCUUCCAAGUGAGAGGCAAGGCCAGCUGGGCUGCAGGCUUAGGGUGCGUUUGAGAUUGAGGUGCUGUAGCUUUUAAGCUACAGCUGCUGUGAAAAAAAAGCUGUAAUUAUGAAACAAAAGUUAAUAAUAUAUAGUAAAUAUAAAUUUUAAAUAAUAAUUUUGAUAAAAUUAUUAAAGAUAUAAUAAAUUUUUUAUUAUACAAGUGAAAAAUCAUAUCAACAUAGCUUAAAAGUUACAGCAGCUAGUGUUUACCAAACACUUUAGUGCUGUAGCUUUUAAGCUACAGCUGCCCAACCUCAAUCCCAAACGCACCCUUAAUCACUGUUUUGUAAUCUGUAAAACGUUGAGAUCAAUAAUUCCCACGCGGAGGACAAAAGCAGCAAAAGAAAACUGCAUCUGUUGACUUUUGAAAAUAUUUCGAAGCCUUUGCCUCACUUGAAAUGCUUUGUGAACACAGGAAGUUGUAUAAAAAAUAUCUUUUCAUUGAAAAAAAUAAAAUAAACUAAUAAUAAUAUAACUUUUCUAAUAUUUUAAUGUGGAUAUCAAAAAAAUUAUAGGAAAAUAUCCACCGUCCACUUAUUUUUUCCAACUUUUUCAAAAAUACAUUUUUUUUUGCUGGAUUCCACCUAAAGUUAUAUUUUGUUUCACUUUUCCACUUCCGUUUGGAAUCCGUUAAGAAAACUAACGGAAACUUAAAAAAAUGAUAAUUUUACGUCCAAAAUGAAAAUUACAAUUUCACCCUAAAAAAUGCAAAAAAUAAUCAGAUUUAAUAAUAAAUAUCAUUAUUGGUAUGUUAGUGAAGUACAAAAAAAUCUUAACUACUAGAGAUUAUAACUCAAUGAAUAAUAAAACUCUACUUAUCUUAAAUUCAAUUGGUGGUUUACGAGAUUAGGCUAUUUUUAAUACUGCUGUUAUAAUUUAGCAUUCUAAUUACAGACAUAUUUUUUUUAAAAAAAACUACAUUUGAUGGUUGUAGAGUUAAUUUCUUUAUUGACCGAUGGAGAAAAUAAUCAGAGUUUGAAUAGUACGCUCUGACUGUCCAUCAGUCUGUGGAUGAAAAGCUGUACUGAAGUUCAACUUGGUGCCUAAGGCAUUUUGCUAGCUAGUCUAGAACUUAGAAGUAAACCGGGAAUCUCUAUUUGAGACUAUGGACACAGGUACUCCGUGAAGUCGAACUAUUUCAGCCACAUAAAUACUCCCCAACUUGUCCAUCGAGUAAGUGGUCUUGAAAGGUAAGAAAUGAGCAGAUUUUGUAAGUCGGUCAACAACCACCCAAACACCAUCAUGUCCUUUCUGAGUACGUGGAAGUCCCGCUACAAAAUCCAUGGUGAUGUGCUUCCACUUCCACUCAGGAAUAUGAUGCGGCUGAGAACACCCUGCAGGCCUCUGGUGUUCAGCUUUAAUCUGCUGACAGACUAAACAUCGAGAAACAAAUUUUGCUAUCUCUCUCUUCAUGCCCUGCCACCAGUAAUGAUCCCUUAGGGUACGAUCCAUCUUCGUACUACCAAGAUGCAUCGCAUAUGCUGAACAAUGAGCUUCUUCCAUAAUCUCUUCUUUCAGAUAUUUAAUACCAGGUACACAGAGUCUAUUACCCAUGACUAAGACACCCUCAUCUCUCACCAUAAAAUCGGUUCAUAAACUUUUCUGCACAUCAUCUUUCAACUUUAUUAAUUGUGGGUCUUGAUCUUGCAUCUGGUGAACUUUGUCAAUCAAAGUCGGCCUAACUCAAAAAUUAGCUAUCAAAGCUCCACGAUUGUCAGCGUUCAACUCGACUCCCAAAGAUCUCAACUCGAUCAACAGAGGCACAUAUUUCACUCGCAAGUGAGCUAUAGAGCUGUAAGACUUUCUACUUAGUGCAUCAGCUACCACAUUUGCUUUGCCCGGAUGAUAAUCGAUAGUGCAAUCGUAGUCCUUAAUCAGCUCGAUCCAUCUCCUCUGUCUCAAAUUCAACUCAUUCUGAGUAAACAAAUACUUCAAGCUCUUAUGAUCAGUGAAAAUUUGGCACGUUGCCCUAUAUAAGUAAUGUCGCCAUAUCUUGAGUGCAAACACCACUGCUGCGAGCUCUAAGUCAUGUGUUGGGUAGUUUCGUUCAUGCUCUUAAGUUGUGUAGAAGCAUAAGCCACCACUUUCCCAUGCUACAUCAAUACACAACCCAAUCCCUGCCUAGAGGCAUCGUUGUAAACCACAAAUCCUUCAUUACCAGAUGGAAGUGUAAGAACUGGUGCUGAGGUCAAACGUGUCUUAAGUUCUUGAAAACUCUUCUCAUAGUUAUCAUCCCACUGGAAUUUAGCAUUCUUUCUGGUUAACUGUGUCAGAGGAGUAGCAAUCUUGGAGAAUCCUUCCACAAAUCUACGAUAGUAACCGGCUAAUCCAAGAAAACUCCGAACCUCUAUGACAUUUGUAGGCCGUUCUCAUUUCACAACUGCUUCAAUCUUUUGAGGAUCAACAUAAAUGCCUUCAGCUGAUAUCACAUGGCCCAAAAAUACUACUCUAUCCAACCAGAACUUGCAUUUGCUAAACUUGGCAUACAAUUGCUUCUGUCUCAAAGUCUGUAAAAUAGUCCGCAAAUGCUCUGCAUGCACCUCCUCGCUUCGGGAAUACACUAAGAUAUCAUCAAUGAAUACAAUCACAAACAGAUCCAAGUACGGGCGAAAUACCAUGUUCAUCAGGUCCAUAAAAGCAGCUGGGGCAUUUGUCAACCUAAAUGGCAUCACUAAGAACUCAUAGUGCCCAUAACGGGUUCUAAAAGCUGUUUUAGGAACGUUGACAUCUUUAAUUCUAAGCUGAUGGUAACCCGAGCGCAAAUCGAUCUUAGAAAAUAUUUUUGCCCCUUGGAGUUGAUCAAACAAGUCAUCAAUACGCGGAAGUUGAUACUUAUUGCGUACCGUAACUUUAUUCAACUGUCUGUAGUCGAUGCAGAGUCUAAAAGUCCCAUCUUUUUUCUUAACAAACAAGACUGGAGCUUCCCACGAGGACACACUAGGUCUAAUAAACUCUUUCUCCACCAACUCUUGCAAUUGAACCUUCGGUUCCUUCAAUUCUGCUGGAGCCAUUCUGUACGGUGCCAUAGAUAUUGGAGAUGUUCCAGGGACUAAGUCAAUAGAAAACUCAACUUCUCUGUUAGGUGGCAUCCCAGGAAGUUCAUUUGGAAAUACAUCUGGAAAUUCUUUAAGUACUGUAAUAUCCUCCACUCUCAAUUCUCGAGCUUCUGUAUCUAUCACAUGAGCUAAAUAAGCUGAGCAUCCUUUUCUUAACAACCGUCUUGCACUAAUAGUAGAUAUAACACAUGAUGGUAGAACUUUGCGCUCCCUACAGAAUUUCACCUCAGCUUUCUUUGGCUUUUUAAACACAACGUCCUUUUUGAAACAAUCCACCGUAGUAUAAUGAGAUUCAAGCCAAUCCAUGCCUAAAAUAGCAUCAAAGUCAUAAAUAUCUAAGGAAAUCAAAUUUGCCUCAAAUUCAUGUUCACCCAUUUCAAUCAUACAAUCUCGAUACACACUCUCAGCAAGUAAUGACUCUCCGGUAGGUGUAUGAACAACUAAAUCACAAUCUAGCAGUUCGGGCUCUCGCCCUAUGUGCAUAACAAAAGUACGAGAAACAAAAGUGUGUGUGGAUCCAGGAUCAAUAAGAAUAUGAGCCUCGCGGCCAAGGAUAGAUAAUAUACCCAUAAUAACUUCUAGUGCAGCACGUGCUUCCUGCUGCGUCAAAGUAAAAACGCGAGCCUGAGUAUGAGGUCGACCAGGCUGACCUCUCAGACCUGGAGCAGUCGUCUGACUCCUAAAGGUAGAUGUAGAACCUCAUGUCUGCACUCCUUUCUGACCCUGAGUCUGGCCAGAGUAAGGCCGAUACCGUGAGGCUGUCCCUCCUGUAGAGCUAUCACCCUGAGAUAAAGUAGGGCAGAAUCUCCUGAUGUGUCCAGGUUGACCACACAAAUAACAAACUCUGUCUCCAACAUGACAUUGGCCCUGAUGAUUCCUACCACAUGAAGGGCAAGAAGUCUGCUGGAAACUCCUAGAACGAUCAUCACGAUAUCCCCCACCACUGCGGUCGUACUGUCCCUGAUUCCUGGUAUUACUCCCCACUAACGGUUGCACAGAGCUGUGACUGAUAGCCUGUCUCGAGUCUCCCCAAAAGCCUGUACGCUAACUCCUUUGCGUACUAUCAGAAUAACUCGUAGGAAUACCCCCUCUCUUGGGCGGCCUACUACUAGAGUCACCCUCUGCCCAGCUCUGGCUACGCUUCUGCUUCAGUGCAUGAAAUCUAUGUCCUUCUGAAAUACUGUGCUCUACUCUCCUGGCUGCCUCAACUACCUCACCAAACUCAGUAUAUCGUGAUGCAGUCACGGUGGUGCGAAUCUCAAAUCGGAGGCCAUCCUCGAACCGUCUGUAUCUCUCUCUCUCAUCACCGACUACAGAUGUAGCAAAUCUAGAGAGGUCUAAAAAUUUCCUCUCAUACUCCUCAACUGUCAGAGAUCCCUGAACCAACCGAAAGAAUUCACUCCGUUUAAUAUCCUGAUAUACAACAGGAAAAUAAUGAUCGUAGAAUUCCUUGCGGAAAAUAGCCCAAGUAAUCGCAGCAUGCCUCUGAUAUCGUCUCUCCACAGUCGGCCACCAAUGGUAAGCUCUAUCCUCGAGCAAGAAAGUGGCGAAGGAUAAUCUAUCAUCCUCUGAACAGUUCAUCACAUCAAAAAUACAUUCUAACUUAACAAACCAUGACUCAGCCUCAGGUGGUUCUCCAGAACCAUUAAAGCUCUUCGCCCCUAAACUCCUCACUCGCUCAAUAGUGUUUGCGGUACCGACAUGCGCUUGAGUAUGAUUUUGCACAACUGUAGUCAUGAUCUGAGCCAGCUUAUCAAAUGACUGCUCAAUAUUUGGGGCAUUCCCCGGUGCCUGUUGUGCAAUUUCAUGCGUAGAGGAUUCAACUAUCCCCUCAUUCGCGCGUUCACUUUCCCUCGCAGGUACACUACCAGAAGUCAACCCAGCUAUUGGUCUAGUACAGCCACGGCCACGUCUACUGCUAUGACGAAGCAUGAUGGUGCCUACAAGAUAUAAAUUCUCACUUUAAUAACAAUACAGCUUAUUCUUAUUAAGACAGUAAAGUCUACAGAAUCUAAAACCAUGCUCUGAUACCAACUGAAACGACCCGCCCCGAAUCCCCCUAGGCGAGUCUAUCUAGUCUCAUCAAAACAGACUUGAUAAUAAUUCUAUUCGUAAAGAUUCUGCCGAAAAUUCGGCAAAGUCUCCUUUAUAUAUAUAACACUCCCAAUCUACAAAUAUGAAUAUAACACUCCAAAUGCAAUUCAAUAUACAACAAACUCCAGUGCUCAACAUCCUCAACCAAAAUGCUGAGUUUCAUAUCUCCAGAGUCUCAAAAGAUAAUAUUAUAACUAAUAUUAAUAUAUCAAUUUAUUCUUAAUCCCAAAAGAAUAAUAUAUCAAAAUUAUACAAUCCCAAAAGAACAAGAUGACCAAGAUGUCCUAACACAAAAACAUCUAUAUCUUCUAACAUCAUCACGUGGCCAAAACUCAAAAUAUAUUUACAGUCGCUGGGUUGGUCUGGUGUACCUGCAACCUCCUGGUGAGGGGGGAAAAAUAUAAUAGAAAUGGGGUGAGUUUUAAACUCACUGAGAUCAGUGAGUGGAUAAUAGUUUUGAAAAUUAAUUCUUACUUUAAAAGAAAUAAUCAUAUCAUUUCCAAACACGAUUUCAUUAAACCGUAAGCGAAAAACCAGUAACAAAUCAUUAAACAUUGAAAUCAAAUUACUAACCAUGGACAUCAUAUCACAAUAUCAUAUAGAAUUCACAAAUCUGAAAAUCAUCACCAAACAAGUACUCAGGGAAAUAAUCUCGUCAUAUCCGGACCUCAACGGACAGGCAAUGACGUACUAUCUGGGUACCGCCACGCCCCGGAGCUACACGGAUAGACAGAGAAAUACCAUCUCAUAUCUCAUCAUAUCUGUGCAUGCAUAAUCUAGUCCCCAAAGGACAAAAGCGCCCAAGCACACGGCCCAAAGCCUCUGUGUGUACUCAGAUGGGCCCCAAAGGCCUGUAUCUCAUCUGUAUCAUCUGUAUCAUUUGUAUCUCAAUAUCUCUCUGUAUCUCAUAUCUGUAUCUCUGUAAUCAUCAUACCGCAUGCAUAUGCCUCCAAAAGGCAAAAACGCCCAAACACACGGCCCAAAGCCUCUAUGUGUGUUUAGACGGGCCCCAAAGGCCUCUCAUCUCAUUUGUAUCACAUGUAUCUGGAGGGAAGGGUAUUGUCUAAUGAUUUCAAAAACAAUCAUUAUACUCAUAUUCACAUACCUCUUAACCAUAUGUUUAAAUCAUACCACAUUUGAAUCCACUUUUCUUAUCUUUAAAAUACUAUCAUGCUCAUUCAAAGUCAAUACGCAAAAUCAUUAAUCAAACAUUUUAAUAAAAUACCAAUGCGUGAAUAAAAUCUAGUUCGAGGAAAUCAUUAAAUCAGAACAUUUAAAAUACUUAUUUUGCAAACAUGUUUUACUAUCAUAAUUAACUAUGAAAAUAGGUUUUGUAUAUUCCACUCACAGUGACAGUGUUCACGGUCGGUUAUCGUCCACGUCCGCGGACUGGUUCUCGCUCGCGGAUCCUCCUAAAAUAAGGAAACGACAUAAUUAUUUUCCGUAAAUCGGAAUUAUGACUAAAUUUUAUGCAAUAAACUCGAACCGAAUAUCUAUCCAUAAUUGACAACUCCCGUAUCUAUAAAAUUACUAAAAUGCCCUUGAGUCAGUAGAUCAUUAACAUGCUCCGAAAUCGUAAAUCACUGAAUUACCCUCGAAAUCGUAAUUACACCCAAUCCUCAAUUCUAGGAAUUACUAACAUAUCCACAGGCUCAGAAAUUACAAAAUUGCCCUCAUAGUGUGAAAUUACCAAAAUGCCCUUGCCGGUCAACGGUCACCGGAAUUUGGUCAACGCUGGCUAGGAAGCUCAAAUCUGAAAGUUCCAAUCAUGUUGAGUUCAAUGGUACCGGCGGUGAGCUCCAACACGUGGCAACGACGCCGAAAUCUAGCUCGGCAGCCGUGAAUUCCAACAAUCGACCUGCGGCAACACAGUGACUCUCGGUGCCUAUGGAUGGUCGGAAAUGGAAGAGGGAGUCAUGAGGAGCAAAAUCCAAUCGGUGGUGUCACUCAAAACCGGCGAAAAUCCCGGCGAAGCAAAGUGAAAUAGUCGCGGGUUUCAAGCUUCGAUCGCCGGCGUUUCGGUUGGUUUUCGGCGGCGAGGAUGGCAGGGGAACAACGGUCGGCUUCUAAGCUUCAGAUUGGUACCAAGCUCGGCCGAAACGGUGGCCGGAAAUGGGAGUUAUGGCCGGGUCAAGGACGCGGGUUCCGGGUCGGGUUUCCGGGUCGGGUUGACGGCUUCUCUCUCUCACUCUCUCACUCUCUCACACACGUGUGGCUUCUGUUUUUUUGCUCUGUUUUUUCUAGCUUCUUCCUUUUGUUUAUUAAUAAAAUCCUUAACCGCCUCAUUUUAUUUUAAAUUCACAUAUGUUACAACAUUAUUUCAAUUAUUAAUAAUUGACAAAAUUUUUGUUAUUUAUUAACAAUUAAUAAAAUUUAUUCAUAACAAAAUCAUAAAUACAUCAAUUGUUUUAUUUUAUUACUAACAUUUAAUUUUUGAUUUUAUUACUAAAAUUUAAAAAUACAUAAUUUCAGCAAUCAAAUAAUAACCAAUUACAUAAUAAAUAACCAAUUAACUUUAAGCAUAUAUAAUUAACUACAUAGUAUAUACCAUGAAUUGAAAGUUGAAACUUAGAAAAGUCACAAAGUCACAAAGUUACAAAAGAGCAGCAAAUCACGGCAAACACUCGGGUCGGGUUGGAGGCCGCGAGAUUGGAGCAGCAGAUCAUGGCAGCAGAUGGAGCAGCAGAUCACGGCAGUCGGCAGCAGAUGGAGUAGCAGAUCACGACAGUCGGUAGCAGAUCAUGGCAGUAGAUGGAGCAGCAGAUCACGGCAGUCAGCAGCAGAUCGCGGUUGGCGUAUUCCUUUCAAUUUGAGCUUAUUAGUACUUUGCACUUGGAAGACUAUUAAUUUUGGAUUUGAUAUCAAUGUCAUUUGUGCUUCGAAAUUGAAUGCAUAGAUAUUUAAAUUUGCUGCAAUUUUAUGAUUCUUCAUUUCCAUUUUUUACUUUUUCAACAUGUGCAAGUCGAUAUUUAACUACUUGUGUAUCUGUCUUUGAUAUCAUGUUUGCCAAUAAGGAGCAGUAACUAUAUUGAACAUUUUUCAGUUUCAAAAUGUGUGUUAUUUUUAUGUUUCAUUUACUUUAAAUUACUUUUAUUUGUGGAUUUAUGUUGUUAUUGUAUGCCAUUCAUAUUCAUUUGUUAAUUGUUGAACCAUGAGUGGAUUUUAUUUGAUAUUAUUAGGUAAAUUUUUAAAUUUUUAAGUUAUAUUUUAAAUUAUUAAAUUUUAAUUUUUGUGGGUCCGGAUAUCUAGAAUAGAUGUCUACAAUUCGUGCGGGAUAUGAAAAAUGGAUCUACAUCUAGAUGCGCCUACAUUUGAAUUUAGAUCCAUAUUUUACCAUCCCUAAGCUGGAUAGCAGGCUUAAUCAUUGUUUUGUAAUAUGUAAAACAUUGAGAUCAAUAAUUCCCACAUGGAGGACAAAAGUAGUAAAAGAAUCCCAAUCGUAGCUAUUCAAGGCCUUGUCAUUGCCAUAGCCAACAGAAGUGAACCUUGUCGAAAAAGUUUGGAUGAGACCAUUGAUUUGAUUUUUUGGGAGUGUUUGGUUUGACGAUCGUUUGGGAAAUAAAGAAACAGGUGUUCAGAUUCAAGUGAAAGAAAUAUCAAUGGAGGAAGAAAAAUGAAGAGUGGAGGUAGGGUCGGGCCGGUCGGCUACUGAGUAAUGAUGCCUUUGCUUUCAUUUUCUUUUGUGGCUUAUAAUCUUUUCAUAAUUGCAAAACUAACCUUAUACCUUGAAAAUGUUUUAACAAGAUUUUUGAAUUUUAAUGGCAAAAAACUAAUUAUGUUAAAAAGGUCAUUUAUUAUUCUAUUCAUUUAUGACCUUAUUAAUAAACAAAUUUUAAAUGAAUAAUCGAAUAAGUGAACUCAACCCUAGAUUCGAUUCAUUUAUUUAAUGAAUUAAAAUGAAUUUACUCAUUUAUUAAACAAAUCAAUAUUUUGAAAUCUAUUCCUAUUUAAUUUGACUCGAAUAGAAUCGAAAUAAGAAUCCUAAGCCAAAACACCACCCGUAAUUAGGGUUGGCAAAAACGCUCGAGCUGGGCCUAACAUCAUAAAAUCAUGGAUAUGAGCCCAAAAAUUUAAAGCCCAUGCUCUUUAAUUUAUAAAUUAAAAAAUUAAAUUAAAAAUUAAAAAUCAUUUUUAAUUGAAAGAGUUAAAUCCCUCGUUCCAUUCCGGAUUAACAACCUUUUUAAUAAAUAUGAGUCUUAAGCUUCUUGUGUAAAUUACAAUGCACAAACAUAAUUAAUAUCUAAAAAAUAAAUAAUUUUAAUUUACAAUAAUAAAUAAUAAGAAGAAGAGAAAAAGGAAUAAAGAAAAAGAAAUGUAAAUAUUUGCUUAGAGGUGACCGGCCCAGGCCCAUUGAAGGGAGUAAUUAAUAUUUUUUUGUUUAAUAAUAAUAAUCAUCUUAAUUUAACUAUUUUUUUAAUUUAUAACUUAAUUAAAAAUUUAUUUAACAAAAUUAUUGAAGGUCCAAACCCGGCCUAGGCCCAAGCCCAUUUAAGUUGGAUGGACUUUCAUAGGGUCUGGACCUAAUAUCAAUUAUAUGGGCUUGGACUUGAGAAAAUCCAGACCAAACUCGCAAAUUGCCAACCCUACCCGUAGUCAACACCACUCGUGUGUUGCAAAUUAUAAUAUUAUAUAUUAAGCAGAUGCUAGCAGAAGGAUGUGAAAAAUUGUUUUAGUUACGUUAUUCUAGACACAACAUUAAAAAUUGGGGUCUAUAAAAGUUGGAGCAGAGCAUAUCACCCCAAAAGCAAACAUAUCACCCAAACCACAGAAGGAAACAAAAUAAAGAGAUGGACAGAGGGGUUUUAAUUAAAUAUGCCUUAAAAGUAGGGUAUUUAGUUAAAUAUACCCCAUGCUUGAAAAUUAUCUAAAUAUGCAUUUUUAUGUGGUACAUUGUCUAAAAUAUCCCUAAAGAAAAAUAUAAAACACACACAACUCACAACACUCUUUACUUCUCACUCUUUUUGUUUACUCCACACAACAAAAACUCACACCACACUCAAAAUCACUCACAAACAGCUAAUUAAAACUUUUUUUUUAUUAUUCAUCCCAUGAAUAAGGUAUUUGAAACUUUUUUUUUUUUUUGGGCUAUCUAUUCAAUUUGUUGACAUUAUAUUAUUUUUAGGGUUUUGUUUGGUUUGUGAUAAACACUAAAGCAACUCAUAUUUUCAUUACAUUUGCAUCAUAUGACUGUUAUUUGAUAGAUUUUAUAACUACAUUCGUUAAAACCUGAAGUUGUUGUCAAUUUUUUUUUCUGCACCCGACAUACACGACAUCAGUCGUGUAUGUAUGUAUUUAAACGACUAUAGUCGUGAAAAUGUGCAAAAAAUUUCAAUUAUUAUGACACCUUAUCAUUCCAUAGGUUCGAAAAAUAUUUUUUUUUCACUAUAUAUAUCAUUUUACUAUUACUGGACUAUAGUCGUGUGUGUUAAUAAGUUACACGACUACUAGCGUGUACGUAUAAACUUAUAUACUAUAAUUAUGUAUAUAUGUAAAAUGUUCCAAUUGUUAUGAGAUCCCAACAUUAUUUUAAGAAGAAAUAUGUCCUCUGAUUAUUUACUGAGUCAUGUAUUUUUGUAACUUAUACGACUUCUGUCAUGUAUGUAUGAAUUUACACGACAACAAUCGUGCAAGUUUGAAAGAUAUAGUAGUUGUUAUGACACCUAGCAUUUUGUUAGUACAAAUAUUACAGUUAUAUUUUAUUAAAUAUAUCAUCUGACUGUUUAUAGAACUAUAGUUGUGUAUUUUAGCAAGUUACACAACUAUUGUCGUGUAAACUAUCAAUUACACGACGUCAGUCGUGUAAAUAGGCAGACAUAUCCACACUUCGUUAUAAAUCUUGUUUAAUUUUAUUUUUGUAUUUCUUGUAUAAUCAACUGUUGUAUUAUUACAGUAAUGAGGUUUUGCCCCCUAUGGAAAAGCGGAAAAAAGGUCGGCCACAACAAAUUAGGAUAACAUCACAAGGCGAAGAGAAAUUGCACCGUAAGUAUGGUAGGUGUGGUUCUCGAGGACAUAAUCGACUAACUUGCAGUGCACCAAUCUCACUGUCUAACAAUGAGCCGUAGCUAGACCGUAUGAAACAUAAACAAGCACAUGUACUACUAUGAACCUUAUAUACUUGUUAUUUUUUGUUGUUUUAAUUUUUUUAAUAUCUUUCAUAUUUAGUGAUAAAUUUCUACCUUUUUGUUUCGCAAAUGAAUAAACGUAUUUGUGUGGCUUUCUAAGAAUAAGUAUUGAACGAAGGUGACCAGAGGCUUAUAAAAUAUGGACCGAGUGUUUGGGUUAAAGAUGCCAAAAAUUUAUGAUGAAUGUUAAACAACUUCUAUUGUAUUACGACUUAUUUACGAUUUCAAUAAGUAUUGGAUUUAUGUUAUUUGAUAGGCAACCAGACUACAGUUAGUUUCAUUUAUUUGAAGUUUGAUAUGUUAAAGUCUAUAUUGAUUGUGUCAUCAAUAUAAUGAAUGAUUGAAAAUAGUUUUUAUUCUGUGCACAUACCUGAGUACAAUCGUGUAACAUGACUGUUACAGAACUGGUCAUGUUUAUUUCUAAAUACUCGACUACAGUUGUGUAUCUGUGCAAAUACCCGACUGCAGUCGUGUAUUUUGUCACAGAGAGCUUGUCAUGUUUAUUUCUAAAUACCCGACUGCAGUCAUGUAUCUGUGUAAAUACCUGACUGCAGUCGUGUAUUUUGUCACAGAGAACUUGUAAUGUUUAUUUCUAAAUACCCGACUGCAGUUGUGUAUCUAUGCAAAUACCUGACUGCAAUCGUGUAUCUAUGCAAAUACCCGACUGUAGUCAUGUAUCUGUGCAAAUACCCGACUGCAGUCUUGUAUUUUAUCACAGAGAGUUUGUCAUGUUUAUUUCUAAAUACUUGACUGCAGUCGUGUAUAUGUGCAAAUACCCGACUGCAGUCGUGUAUUUUGUUACAGAGAGCUUAUCAUGUUUAUUUGUCAAUACCCGACUGCAGUCGUGUAUCUGUACAAAUACCCAACUGCAGUUGUGUAUUUUCUUACAGCGUAUUCCCUGUGCAUAUAUGGCAAUCAUGUUAUAUCACAUAGAUUGUACAAACUAUCUUGUCUAUCAUUAAUAUAAUUAACAAAAAAAUAAAAUAUAUUAAUGCUGUCAAGUUAUCUUUAAUGACAUCAAAUAUCAACAACAUCCUCAUUAUAACUAUUACAUCUCAUAGUCCAAAAAAUGACACUACAAAGUUUUUUUCCAUGACCUAUGCCCAAAUAUUUUUACAGCCAAGGCUUUUCGAAAUUGUGUAACAUGAUCUUGUUGGCAAUAUGAAUUGAUAUCAAGUCCAUGGGCUAGGACCUCCAAGUACCGCAACAAAAAUGCUCCACAAUCACCACUAAAAAAAUUGAAUAAGAAUGAACCAAAUAUAUUGCUCUUACACCUGAUAAACAAACCAAGAGUUGUAUGGUACCUCUAGUGAGCCUCAAGGAACAACUAAUUGGAAGUUCUAUAAAAUCCAGGAUUACAGGUAACCUCCUCAACCUGCUUGCUUUGAGACUGCAGUGGCAUUUGCAGACAACGUCAUAAAAAAUUCUACAGCUAAUAAAAGUUUUGACUCUUCUCAUACCAUCAAAGAGAAAAAGAAUAGAAAUGGAUAACUAUAAAUAUUAGAAAGCAGAGAACCAUAACUAGAAGCAUGCGACUUAAGCUCUACAAAGAGAAUAAAUAGUCACAUAAGUUUGCAAAAUCACAUUCUUUCUUCAUUUGCGUAAUGAGUCCAUUGGUGAAUUUGGACGUUAAAACUGUAUCAGUGAAAAUCAGAUAAGAACAAGCAGAAUACGCAACUUGAUAACAAACGCAUCUAACAAUAACAAAAGGCCACUUCUUUACUUAAAUAUCGAACCAUAUUAACAAAUAAGAAUCAUAACGUGAUUGGUCUCCAGAAGUACAUUAGUAUCUCCACCCCCCUUCUUUUAAAAAGUAAUUCUACCAUGUCUCAGUUAGAAAUUGAAAAUCCACUAUGUUAGUUAGCACAAACUGUUUCCUCCAUUUUCCAAUCCUUUCAGUUAGAACUUCAGAUAUCAAAGCAAUCAAUAGAUAUUCAUUCAUAAAAUACGGUUAAAUUUUAAAAGUAGUAAAGAAUUGAGAAUGCAUCCACUGAAGAAAGUUCACAAAUCUUUCUUUUUUUUGGGGGGGGGGGGAGUUGUUUCCAGUUUUUCCAUAGUUCUCAUCACCUUGUGACAAAUUUGUAAACCACAACUUACUCCUCUUUUUCUCUUUCCUAAUCUAACAUUAUUAAUCAAAUAAAAUGCAAUGAAUUUGUUCAAUGACUUUAUCACAGCUUCAUGAACUAAUUUCAAGACAACUCCUAGUCUAGAAGUUCACGGAAAAUGUAAAAUAUCUCUUCUGCAAUGUUAAAAAUUUGUUUAUAGUUGAGCUAUUGAAAAGCUACUCCUGAAUUCCGGAGUAUGCCAGAACAAUCAUUUUCAAGAUGAAGAUACAACUCCUCAUGGACGGAAAGCAAAAUCCUAGUCCCACCUAACAUUUCCACAGAUAUUAAAUUAAUAAAUUACCUUCAAAGCACAAGGGUUACAGUCAAUUUCUCGUUUUACUUGUUUUGCCACGUUUCGGCGAGAGUGUAGAAGAAUUGUUGUAAAAUGGCAGGGAUUUGUAAAAUGGAGGAGGGCGCGCUGAAGGAGAGUGGGGGAAUUGCAGCUAAUGGUUUGCACAGAAGCGGCGUCGUUUUACUUGUUUUGCUGCGUUUUGGUGAGAGUGUAGAAGAAUUGUUGUAAAAUUGUAGGGAUUUGUAAAAUGGAGGAGGAGAAUUCCAGAAGAAUGAGCUGAAGGAGAUGCUGCUCAUGAGAGAGAAUUGGGGGUUUUGUUACACGAUUGGUUAUGGUAGUUUGGUUGAUUUAGGUUUUUCAUUAGGAUAAUUUCGUAACUGCAUAUUAGAAAAGGCAUAUACGAGAAAUUUUUUAGUAUGGGGGUGUUUUUAGAUAAAUACUAUAUUUUUGGGGUAUACCACGGACAAAUCCCUGUUAAAAAUUGGGGUCCAUAAAAGUUGGAAAAAUUGGGGUCCAUAAAAGUUGGAGCAGAGCAUAUCACCCCAAAAGCAAACAUAUCACCCAAACCACCGAAGGAAACAAAACAAAGAGAUGGACAAAGAACUUGAAAACGGGAGAUAAGAAGAUAACCAGCUUGAGGUUCAAAAUUAAACACAUAUUACAGACUACAUGUACGAAAAGAAAGACAGAAAACCGAACAUGGGCUACUGAGCUGCCCCUCACAAUCCCUAAAAAAGCACCAAGUUGAUAGAAACCAAAUCAGUGAGGUAAAAAUAAAAAAGAAAAUGAGCCGCCCACACGUUUUGGUGAUGCCUGCUCUAGCAUAGGGCCAUCUAAUUCCUUUACUGGAGUUUUCGCAAUGUCUGGCAAAACAUGGAUUCCGAGUCAAAUUCGUCAAUACGGAUCAUGAUCACAAGCGGGUAGUGGAAUCAUUAGAGGGAAAGAAUUAUCUUGCGGAGCAAAUCCGUUUGAUUUCGAUCCCAGAUGGGAUGGAGCCCUGGGAAGAUAGAAACGAUUGAAAAAGUUUUACAGGUUAUGCUGGGGAAGCUGGAGGAGCUCAUAGAAGAGAUCAACAGUAGAGAAGAUGAAAAAAUUGUUUGUUUCCUUGCAGAUGGGAACAUGGGUUGGUCUAUGGAGGUAGGAAAAAAGAUGAACGUCUGGGGGGUUGUCUUUUGGCCUUCAUCAGCAGCAUCUGUGGCCGUGGUAUUUCGUCUCCCCAAACUUAUUGAUGAUGGAAUCAUUCACAGUCAUGGUAUGAUCCCAUGUCAUUUAACUCCUUACUUUUUUUUUGUUUUACGUAAGGGGGGUGGGCAAACCCAAAUACAGUUUUUUUACCCCUUACCACCCUAAAGAACCGAACUCGCGUUUUGGUAGAGGUUACAGAUGUACUGAAACCAACCCGACCAUGCCCUUGGGGCAUUUAACUCCUUACUUUGCUCCAGCAAACUUUAAUUUUGAAGCAUGUCAAAUUAGAAGUUUAUUUUAUGCUAUUGUAAUUUUCUUUGUUUUGUAUUCAACUUCAGGAAAUCCUACGAGCAUGCAGAUGUUUCGGAUAGCACCAAAUAUGCCUGAAAUGAACUCUAGAGACUGUUUUUGGGCACAAAUUGGUGACUUGACCUCGCAAAAGAUUUUUUUUAUUUACUGGAUAGAAACAUGAGAGCAAUGAUAGCGGUAAAUUUCCAGUUUUGUAACUCUAACAUAUGAGCUCGAGUCUGAAGCAUUCACCAUGUUUCCGGAACUUCUGCCAAUAGGACCACUUUUGGCAACUUCUGGCGCGAAGACUCAAACUGUUUGAAAUGGCUAGACCAACAGCAACCAAGCUCUGUCAUUUAUGCUGCUUUUGGCAGCCUUACAAGGAUGCAGAUUUUGCAUAUUAUAUCCGGGUCAAAUAAAUCAAUUCUGCAAGGACGCACGAGUUUCAAUGCCACUCCGUUUCCCGCGGGGAGGCAAACCAAACUGGAUUAGCGUCUCUUGCAUUUUAGAAGAGGAAACAGAAUUGCUGCGAUCCUUGUAUAGGAUUGCCUAUUUUUUGGAUCACUCAAAAACAUUUGUUUAUUUAGUAUUAGCUUAUGAGAAGAUACUAGUGAGAUUUGCGGCUAAAAAAACUGAGAUAGGAUACUUGUGUGGGAGGAGACUAAGCCUAAAUGUAGCCGAUAAAAUGUUUAGAUCAAGCUCGAAAUCAUGUUAUUAUUCCUUUUAAUUUUAAGAGGAUGAGAUACAUCUUGUUCCCUCAUCUCGUGCUAUAUAUAUUGAGAUUUGAGCACAAGGUAAUCAACUUCUAGUCUUCUAAUUCACAGCAACAAAAGCAAUGGCUGCCUCUUACCAUACUCACACAAACAGCCUUCCACAAGAUCACACCCACAGACUUCCGAAGUUGAAGAGCAUUUGAGAAGAUUAAGGACUUCUCUAGCUGCUUCUACUUCAUCAUUAGCCAUGAAUUAAAUUGCUUGGAGGAUUCAUGAGAUUCUAUUCAAAAAAAUACUUCAAUUGCCCCCCGUGCAACAAACUUUAGCCCAUGGCCACGAGAAGAAAUGGGUUGAUGACUGUUGAAUGGAUCUUCCAGGAUCUUGACUGUUUGCAGCACUGCUCAGAACGCCUUGCUGCAGAUAAAGGAAUCUGCACUCGGAAUUCGAUCAGUGCUAUGCAAAAGAGGGGAUGAGGAAAAUUGAAAUCAAAUGAAACAUGUUGAUCGGCAUGAGUUGUAGCAGUGUGCGAUGCAAAAAUUGGCUUUGCUGUGAAAGAGAGAAGACAAAUAAGUUAAAAAGAAUGAUACCGAAAUACCUUCUUACAUAUGAACAAACCAAGGCUUACACAUAUAUGUCAGGCAAAUUGAAUUCUUGAAAGUGUCGGCACCAGCUGGCCAUGCAAAUAUUAAUUAAUCACCGUUCAAAUUUGAAUAUGGCAGCAGCCAAUUCAGCUCCUUUUUUUAACUUCACGAAGAAGCCUUCAAAUUGGUACUAAUAUUUGAAUAUGGCAGCAGCGGUAGCAGCAGAAAGAAAACACGAGGUUCUAAGUGAUGAUGAAGGAAUAUCGGUAUCAGUAGAGGAUCAGAAAGUGAAUGAAGACAUGCCUGAGGCACACGAUGCUGCAAUGAAAAUUGAGAGGGCCGAGGGAGCUUAUGUGGCCUACUCAGGGCUGCGAGAAAAGCCAUCGAAGCUUGAAAUUUGGACAUUUCAUUGUUACAACAGUUGUGCCCGUUGUUUUUCCUCUCAUCAUCAGUGAAAUUGUUUCUAAAAUGAUGAUGAUGAUCAAGGUUGGGGACAAACCCCAAGGGGCAUUGCUUGUAUUCUCAGAGAGAUCAAACUGUAAGUUCUUUUUCUAGCUACAUCUAUUUUUACUUAGUAGAACAUUCAAUCAAAAUUCUAUGUAUACAAAGCACAUGAGUGUAAUUUACACAAAAAAUUGGAUUAAAGAUCGAAUUGAUUCCAAGAUUCUUAGCACAAAAACAGUAAAAAACGUAAAAGAUGCAAUUGUGCAUAUUAAUUUUCUUAUGGGAGAAUGAAUUUCUCAUUCUUAAUUUUACCAUUUGGCUCAAAAUAUUGACAAAAAAAUAAUAUUGUUUGAGGUUAAAUGUGAAAUUUUAAUAUACAAAAUGGUUAUACUAAGAGAUUUACUGAUUAUGUUAUUAAAAAUUUAUCCGAACCCAAAGAACAAAAACAACUUCUUAGUGGGAAUAAAGUUUCAUUUAUUCUCCUUUAAUUAAUUCAUUAGCCAAACUCUUACUCUUUAUUUAUUAUUACUUAAACUUGAGUGACCGCGGGUAUAAAGCGCAUUCAUGACCAGUUCAACUAGACAAAUGGUCAGUUUUGAAUGUGUCCAUAUUUAGCAUGAUGAAAUAUUUUUCAUAUAUUGGAGGUAUGAUUGACUAACACACACAUCAAUAUCAACGAAUAAUCUGAAUCUCUCAGCAAUGGAAUGGACUUCAAUUUCAUGGGCUAUAGGCCUAAUUCUGGCUAGUCCCUCCCUUGGCUUGAUCUCCAAGCAACUUGACCAUGGCUACAACCCACAGCUCAUUGCUAGGGCUGCAAGUGCCAUCGGUUCCCUCUUUUGUCUUCCUGUUGGCUUCAUUAAAACCCCAUACAUCUUCCCAUUUUAUAUUGCAGCUAUUGUUGCAUUAUACAUUGUUGCUUCAGCCUCCCACACUCGCCAUCUUGGUCUUAUGGCUCGCGGCUACACUGGACCAACACUUAAACUUAGCCAAUCCCCAACUAGAAGAGGGCUCUCAGGCUGGUUCUCGGUUUACGCCACUGCUGCUGGUGGCUUAGGCUCUGCCAUUUUCUCAGCAUUCACUUACCAUAUGCUUAGGAACAAAAAGGGCCCAUUUGUUAGCCUCUGGAUUGUGUCCAUUUUCAGGGUCCUCAAAUGGCUCGUUGGCAUGCUCCAUAUUGUCACACUGAGCCAGGGGCAAUCACCAACGCAACCUCCUCUAUGCCCGAAUCAUAUUCACUGUCCCUUUUUAAAAAUCCUCAUGCAAUUACAAGCCUGAUUGUAAUUUUCAUGUCAUCAUUUUCAUCAAUGUGCAUUUUCACUGAGGGGUUAUUUUUUUUCCUAGGCCCGUUGUGCCUCGAGGCAAUUUUCUUCCUCUACUUCUGGAUAAUUUACUUCAUCUUCCCAUCAUUUUCAAUGACACUAUUGCAACCGUUACAACAUGUUAUCAAAGCAGAUGCUGUGAGAAUGCAACUUCUGGUUUUCCUCUUAGCUCUGUUGACUUCAGGUAUGGGAUUCUACUACAAGGAAAAGAACUGGCAGAGGCACCAUGUACUGCUUUUUGCUGCAAUUCAAAGCACUUCUGCAGGGCUUUUGCAUGCUUUUGGGAGAGUUUUGUUGCUAGAUUGUGCACCACAUGGCAAAGAAGGUGCUUUUUCUGUGUGGCACUCGUGGGUAAAAGCACUAGGAACUUGUACUGGCUUUGCUGUGGCAUCAGCGAUCAGUGGAAAUGUGAGCACUGCUUUUGGGGUUUCAUUUUUGGCUGCCACGAUCGGGAUUCUUAUUGUGAUUUUUGGGGACAUCAGUGAUGUUGGUGGAGACAUGGCUGCUGGGCAUUUGCAUGAAGCGAGUGAGAAGGGAUCCCCAGUGCCUGGUUUAGAUAGUAGUGCAAGUGAACUUUCGCGGAGAGUCAAAUCUGUUAUCCUUUAUAAGUAAAUAACUGAGGCACGUAUGAUUUUCAUUUUUUUUACCCUUUUUUUUCUUUUUUUCUCUUUUGGUUGAAUAAGUAUAUCCCACUUUCUGUUAACUGUAAAUAACUUCUUGUGUGCCUUUUACACUUCCAUUGGUCAUUGCUUUGAAUUAAUGUAAUAUUGAUUUAAUUGAAAUGAUAAUUCUUUUUUUUUUUUUUUGGGUUCCUAUCAUUGCCUAAACUCGUUUCAUUAACUGGUAUGUUAAAAUUUGUGACAUUGGUAAAAAUUCUAUCUAUAAAAUUUUCUGCACUGUAGCCAUACGAACGUAAUCUGUAAUCUGUUUUGUAAUCCAAGCUGGGCGGUAGGCUUUAUCACUGUUUUGUAAUCUGUAAAACGUUGAGAUCAAUAAUUCCCCCGUGGGGGACAAAAGCAGCUAAAAAAAAAAAGCAUCUCUUUGACUUUCGAAAAUAUCUAGAGGACUUCACUUGAAGUGCUUUGUGAACGCAAGAAGUUAUAUAAAAUUAUCUUUUCAUUGAAAAAAAAAAAUUAUAAUAAAUAUAACUUUUUUAAUAUUUUAAUUUGCAUAGUCAGUCAAAAAAAUUAUUUAAACAUAACUCAUUCAGAGCUCAUAAAGCAUAUUAAUAUUAGAGGUGGAAAAAUGAAUUGAUGAAUUGAAUCCGUAUCAAAUCAAAUCAAAAUUCAAUAGAUUCAAAUUCAAUUCGUUUAUUAAAUGAAUGGUAAUCUUUAGACUCAAAUUUAAAUGAAUGGUAAUCUUUAGACUCAAAUUUAACUCAUUUAAUAAAUAAAUAAAUAAUUGUUUAUAAUUUGUUUAAUUCAUUUAAUAUACAAAAAUAAAUUAAACAACAAAUGAAAACAACAAAUAAAGAAGUGAAUGGAUUCACCUAAAUUUGUUUACAAUCUGAUAAAAAAAAUCAAUUCAUUACAACUAGAUUCAAGCUAAACACUAAUACAAUCAAUAACCAAGAAACUGAAGAAACUCGAAAGGCGUAACGAAGGAUGAAGUUCACGGUUGAAUUUGUGGUCGGCAUACCUAUUUGAGACCUUGUCACCGCCAUAGCCAAGAGAAGCGAAGCUUGCUGGAAAAUCACAGAUUUGAUUUCUUGGAGUGUUUGGUUUGGCGUUCGUUUGGGGAAUGUUCAAACAAAAUUUUUGAAUUUUAAUGGCAAAAAAGUAAUUAUGUUAAAAAGGUUAUUUAUUAUUCUAUUCAUAAUGGCCUGAUUAAUCAAUAAAUUUUAAACAAAUAAUCAAAUUGGUGAACACAAACCGGAAUUCGAUUCGUCAAUUUAGUGAAUCAAAAUGAAUUCACUCAUUUAUUAGACGAAUCAAUAUUUUCAAUCCUAUACUCGUUUAAUUUGACUCGAAUAGAAUCAAAAUAAGAAUCUUAACCCAAAAUAUCACCGGUAAUCAACACCGCUCGUGUGUUGCAAAUUAUAAUAUUAUCUAUUGAGCAUAUGCUAGCAGAAGGAUGUGAAAAAUUGCUUUAGUUACCUUAUUCUAGACAGAGCAUUUAAAAUUAGGAUCUAGUAAAGUUGGAGCAGAGCAUCCUUUUUUUUAAAUUUAUUACAUGAUACUAUUGCUCAACAGUACAACUCAUAUUACAUGAGAUUAUACCUGAUAUUUACAAAUUUGACUAUUACUAAGAUUGAUUUACAUUAAUUCUUAUGAAGUCUGCCCAGAUUUUUACCAUUUCUAAUAUUCGAGAGACGUCUACUCCACUCACAUUGUCUACUCCACUCACAUUUCGAAUUCUUAUGAAGCCCUCCCAAAUUUUUAUCCGCUCUAAUAUUCGAGGGAUGUCUGCUCCACCCAUAUUUCGAAAAGAAGAAGAUUGUCUUCACUCAAAUUGAGAAAGAAAAUUAAACCCCCACAAUACCUCACAAUAGGAAGGAAAUAGGAUCGAAGGAUGGAUGUGUUUCGUUGGAAUGCCAAUUAUUAAAAACUCAAAAUAAACAAUGCUUGGAUUGGGUCGGCUUUGUCCAAUUUUAAAAUUAAUUACCAGCUCUGAAAUAAAUAGAUUUGCUUUGGAACGCGGUUGGUCAAGUUUAAUAAAGGUACGUGGCGUUGUAUCUAGAUCGAUGUAGAGACAAGUCUGCCUUUGGAACCAGAUCUGACUUAGAACAGAUCAAUAUUCCGCACGUUCUAGUUUCCAGCCUAUAUACCAAUUAUAUUUACCAAAUAUUUGUUAAGUUCUUUAAGCAAGCCUAGCAACAACAUUCAUCUAAGGCUAGGGUGCAUACACAGUACCAGAUCCGGUUCCCGGAAAUGGUGCUCUGAAGGAAUGGAGGGAGAAGAGAAGAUUUACAACUGAGGAUCGAGAUCUGGUCUCUUUGCCUCAGAGGAACGUACAAUUUUUAUGGCAGAUCUGAUACAGAUUAGUCUGCAAUCAUGCUUUGUAAAAGAAAAAUGCUUUAAAAUUAAAUUGCAGAAAUUAAAUGCUUUAAAAUUAAAUUGCUGAAAUUUAAAUUACAUAAAGUAAAUUGCAGAAAUUAAAUUGCUUUAAUUUAAAUGACAGAAACAUAAAUCAUACAUGUUUGCUUUAUUGCUUUGAAUGUGAUACAAUUUCUCAUAUCUGAAAGAAAAGAAAGAUUGAAAGACGGGAAGAUUUCAAGACAAGAACCUCCCUUAAUAUCCUGAUCAUUUACAGGACGGGAAAGGUUUCCUGGAUGUCUUGAAUUCUCUAAGAGAGAGAGAGAGAGAGAGAGAGAGAGAGAGAGAGAGAGAAGGAAAAAAAAUGAAAAGAAGAGAAAACUAGAUCUGAAAAUUCUGAGGAGUCUUAGUCUUCCUCUAGAAUAUAUACACUGACUUUGAACUGUAGCGAGACUUUAGCUUUAAACUGUAGCGGGAGCGGGGAUGCUUGAAACAGUGAUCUUUGGGGCAUACAAUGUUUUUUAUUUUUACAAACUUUAAAAUAAAUCCGGAUUAAGAGACAUGUGCGCUCUCACUUGUGUCCAGGGGACCAUCCGAGGGUAUAAAAGUACGAACAAAAUACAAAAUAGGUAUUUAUCCUCUUUUUUUUUUUUAAAUAAACAAUAAUUAUUUACAAUGCUUUAUAGGAGAGAAAAUUCCGAAACAGUCGUCUUCAUUUUCAUCUCCAAGGGAAAUGAAUGGCUCUUGAUCUUCAUCUUCGUCAUCAUCUUCAGAGGAGUCUGCCACUGAUGACUUUGACCGAGAGGUGAUGAGUUGUUCCAUAACUUUGAAAUACUAUUCUUCUGUUUUUGCACUGGCUAGUAAGGAUUGGGCUUUGAAUUUUUGAGAGAAGAAGGUGCUUUGGGCUUUGGUUAGCUCUUUACUUGGGCCUAAGAAGCCUUUUGUUGUAAGCCAUGAUCGAACAGUGGUUUCGGUUAAUUUAGAUUUUUCAUCAAACUUUGACCACCAUUUGACUUUGAAUGUUCUUUGUAAGACCAGAUGGUUAUCUUGAGUAUGAUAAUGGAAAUUCCACAUCCAAACCCAAGGAAGGAAGAAAUUUGUACAGAAACAGAGAAAAUGAGGGAACCUUUUCUCAGUCUCAGAAGGAAUAUAAUGGGCUUUAAAGAGGCUCAAAUAAUUUUUGGCAUUUUGGGUAAGAAUGUCAGGACUUGGGCCAAAAUAGUUCCACCAAUUUUGAAACCAAUUUGGAAGGCUUUGUACGGUUAUUUUUUAAUUAAAGAAAAAUAACCAUGAAUGGGAUUUCUUUGGGUUUUGUAUGAAAAAUGUGUUAUACCAGGCUUGUUGGUAAUCCCAAUAGGAAUAGACCAUACAAUGAGGUAGACGCAUUUGAAAAUUUGGAGGGAAACGUUUGUAGUUGUGGAGAAGGUCACCCCACUGGUUAGGGCUCAAGACUUUUAAGAUAGUGGCCGUGGAGUAGGCCGGCUCAGAAUGAGAUUCAUUGAGAAAGAAAUGUUUAAAUUUGACUGACUCAGUAGCUUCUAAAAUGCUUUGAUAGUAAGACUGGGGUUUUGUUAAAUCCCAUGGUUUGAAAAACUAGCCUUUAGGAAAAAUCUUUGAAAUUGCUUGAAAUGGAUCAGAAUGAUAAAAUCCAUCUUCAAUAGUUAAAACAUUUUGAUGGAAGGUUUUAUCAUACCAAUCAGAAGUUUUCUUUGAAGGUGUUGGCUGGGAAAGUACAAUUUAAGAGGAUGAACUUUGUCCAGAGACAACAAUAUUUUGAUAAGAGGGUUUUGAAAUUUCUUUAGAGAUGAGUUUUUCUUUUUCAAUUUCUUCUUUAGGAGAAAUUUGGCUUUGAGAAAGGCCCUGAAGGGCGAGCAUAAGCUCAGGUGACUUUGUAAUGGAACUCAUCCACUGUUUUACUUGGUCAUCAGUGGUAGUGGCUUUAUAAUGGGCUUCAUGCUCUUCAACCAUUUCGAUCCAGGAUUUAAUGGGCAUGGCCGAAGAAAGCAAUUUUUCUUUAGAAGGAGUUGGUUGGGGUUCUUUAGAGGUUGCUUGAGAUUCAGUGUCUUUAAGGACAACUUUACCUUUAUCCUUCCUCUUUGGCGGCAUUAUCUGUUUUGAAGAAAUUCUCUAGUUAGAAAAUCAGGAACAUAAUUUUUAUCUCCUUUAAUAAAUUCAAUAUCAAAAUAAAAAAACUUAAAAUGGCUUGCCAUCGUGCAAAAAUUUGUUUGGAUGCAAUAUUUUGAACAUCUUUUUCCAAAACAUGUUUUGCAGCUUUGCAAUCAAUUCUAAGUAGAAAUUUUUGAUUUAAUAAAUCACUUUGGAAUUUAGAGAUACAUAAAACAAUUGAUAAAAUUUCUUUUUUAAUGGUAGAAUAAUUCUUUUGACAAUCGUUCCAAUGUGCAGAAACAUAUUGUACUAUCUGUUCUUUACCAUUUUCUUUUUGCUUUAAUAUGCCUCCAUAACCUAAAUCUGAUGCAUCAGUUUCAACAAUUUUAGGCAGUGUAGGAUUAGCAAGAAAUAAACAUGGAAUGCUUUUUACUAUGGUCUUUAUAUGCUGAACAAUUUUUGUAUGCUCGUCAGACCAUGCAACAGGGGUUUUCUUUAACCUAUUAUGCAAUGGUUUGGCAAUCCUAUUUAUGUUGGGACAGAAAUCAAGAACAUAAUUGAGACUGCCCAAAAAUCUUUGUAACUGAGUCUUAUCAAGGAUUUUAUCAGGAAACUUGUCUGUAAAGGCAAGGGACCUUUCAAUAGGAGUAAUGGUUCCUUUAAAAAUAUAAUGACCUAGGAACCUGAUUCUAGUUUGGAAUAAUGAAAUCUUUGAACUAGAAAGGGCUAGACCAGCUUUCUUUGUGGCAUAAUAGAAAGUCUUUAAGUGUUUGAAAUGUUGAUCAAUUGAUUGAGAAAAAAUCAACACAUCGUCUAUAUAGACAAUGCAAAACUCAGAAUAGGAGUUGUAUAUGUCAUUAAUUAUUCUUUGAAAUUCUGAGGGUGCAUUCUUUAAGCCAAAUGGCAUUACAGUCCACUCAUACUGUCCAAAUGGAACAGUAAAAGCAGUCUUAUAACGAUCAUUUGGGUGAAUUUGAAUUUGCCAAAAUCCAGACUUCAUGUCAAAUUUUGAAAAAAUAAGGGCAGAACACAGUUUUUUGAGUAAAUCUUUUUUAUUAGGUAUAGGAUACCUAAUCCAUCUCAAUGCUUUAUUUAAAGGUUUGUAAUUUAUUACAAGUCUUGGUGUUCCUCUUUCAAUUUCGGAAUUUUUAUUUACGUAAAAAGCAGCACAAGACCAUGGUGAUCUGGAUUUCACAAUGAGUCCUUUGUCUUCUAAAUCAUUUAUUUCUUUUUUACAAUGUUGUUCCAAUUCCAUAUUCAUUUGGAUUGGACGAGCUUUAGUGGGUAUUUAUUUUUCAUUAAAAGAAUUGUCAUAGGGCAAAUCUACCAAAUGUUGUUUUCUUUCCCAAAAAGCAGAUGGUAAAUCAGCACAUAUUUCUUUUUCGAUGAGAUUUUUAAAAUUAGAGAUUUUUCUUUGUAUAAAGUCAUUUUGUAUUUGUCUUUCAAUUCUUUGUAAACUUAAAUCCUUUUUUAAACAAAACAAGUCAUUUUGUUUAGAUUUAAGAACGGCAUUGAUAUGAUUUUGAUAAACUGAGCAAGCUUUAACAAUGUUUAGAUUUCUUGUUUUUGGUUUUUCAAUAAAAGGGAAAAUAAGCUUUUUGGAUUUUGCUUUAAAAGAUAUACUAUCGUAAUUGACAGUAUAUGGGGUAAUCAAAUUUAUAAAUGGGGUUCCUAAAAUGACAGCAUGGUGUAUGUCAUUUGUAAGGAUAAAAGAAGUUCUGAAUUCAAAAUCAUUAUUAUGAAUAGAAGCUUCGACUUUAGAGUUGACUUUAAGUUUUGAAUUAUUGGCGGCAGAAAGUCUUUCUUUAGUUUUCUCAUGAAAUCUUUUAGGGACAAUAUCUUCUCUUAUGCAAUUUAAAUCAGCACCAGUGUCAAAAAGGGCAAUGGCGUCUAUUGCAAAAUCAUUUGAAAAGAUUAAGGUGACUUUAAUCAAAUAUUUUCUGGUGGUGAUUUGUUUUAAAACAAACAGAAAAUCAUUUGGCACAGAUUCAAUGUUGUCAAGUCUUUGUUCUUCAUUAUCACCAUCAUUAGAUUCUUUAUCUGAAUUGUCCUGUAAUUAUUUUUGUAAGAGAAGUUGGAUAGUUUCAGAAUCAUUUCUUUGCUUUUCUUUUAACUCUUUUAUCUCGAGUUUAAUAUCUUUGAUUUCUUUUUGAAGAUCUUGGAUAUUAGGUGUUGUUUUCUUUAUUUUCUUUUUGUCUAAAAUUUGGGUGAGGUCAUAAGAACUUUUUUUAACAAUUGAAAUUUUGGAAGUUUCUGCUUUAUUAGAAUCCAGGGUCUUUAAAAGCUUAUCAAGAUAUUCUUUUUGAAGAUUCGGGUCAGAAAUGUGUUUAACAAGUUCAAGAAAAAUUUCUUGGUCUUUUGUCAAAACAUUGAUUUUCUUUAAAUAAGAAUCUGACUCAGAAUUACUACUGCUAUAUGCAGAAGUAUCUGAAUCAAUAAGCUCAUCAACUUGGAGGCAGUCACUGUCUCCCGACAUGGAAGACUCAGAGUCAGAAGACUCUACAAGAAGAGAGGCAACUUUAGAGAGGAUCUCUUCAUCGAGUCCUAACUCGUGAAGUUUUCGGUUCAUUCUGCAAUACUUUGCAGUAUGGCCUUUUAUGCCACACUUAUGGCAAAUGGCUUCUUUGUAAUUGAAAGGGGCUUUGUGUUUAUGUUUAAAUUCAUUUUUCUUAGAGAAAUUGGGCUUCUUAUGAGGCCUCGAGGGUUUCUUAUAAGAAGAUUCUCUAAAAUUUUGGAAUGGUUUUCUAUGACUCUUGGAUCUGUAAUGUCUUCUGUGAGGUUUAGAAGAACACUCACCAUUACAUCCUUUGGAGGUAGAAGUUUUAAAGGGGUCAUAGUUGAAUUGCUUACAGAAACUGCCUAAUUCUUGCUUAGAUUUCCUAAGCUCCCAUUUAAGUCGUUUCUGUAGUUUCAAAUCUUGACAGAUCUUUAAACCUUCUUUGUUAAUAAAGCUAACAAGUUCACCGUAGAUGAGCUCAUCAUAAGGGAUACGAUUAUCGUAUAUGGCUUUAAUGGAAUUCCUAACCUUUUCUCCUAAAAGGGUAGGUAGACCAGCAAGGAAUUUCUCUUUCCAAGUUAUAUGAUUUGCAUCAUCUCUGAGAAAGAGUCUGGUAAAGAAAGUAGUUUUGUAACUCUGGAACUCACUAAGUGUUCUACAUCUUAAAUUAUGUAGUAACUCAGCGUUUUUAUCUCUAAGGUGAGAGGGAUCUCCUAUGAAAUGGAGGGAGAUGGUGAGGAUUAAAGUGGCAACCGCAUCUUGAAUUAGAUUAUUAAACUCAUCAAGAAUAGGUAUUUUAUCCUCAUCGAUUUGUAUGGAAUUUAGAAUAUCUAAUUGUUGCUGUUGAGUGAGAAGAUGAUCCCACCAACCUUUAAGUUGACCUGUAAAGCCAGCAAUAAGGAUUUCUGCAAUAGCUUUGUCAGAAGUUCCCGAUUGGGUUUUAUACGCAUUAGCUGCCAUGGUCAUCUGCUGCAACAAUCCUAGGAUGUUGUACUCAGACAUUCCAUCUAAACUCCACUCAUAGACAGAGGAUGCAUUGUAUCGAGAUUGAUUUAAUGCACUAGGCCUGUUGUCUAUGGUCAAAUCAGGUGGAGACUUAACAUUAGGAAUGGCUAAUUCCCAAUGGAUUUUGUUGGCUUUAGGAAUAGGAUCUUCUUUAAAGGCUUCUAUAUCAGAAGAGGCAAUAGACGUUUGGUCAGACAUUUGGUCAUGUUCUAAUACUCCAAUCUUGCUAGAUUGAGGAGUAUCAGGAGCUAUUUGAACUUUGCUAGAUGAGGAAGAAGCAACUUCUAUCCUAUCUAGUUGUUCUCUAAUGGCUUUAGUAAAAUCUGAUUUUGACUCAUGAACAAGCUUUUGACUAGUUUUCGAAACUUGAAAAGGUUUGAAAAUAGGUUCUUUAAGCUUCUUGUCAGAAUCCGAUUUUGAUGGAAUAUGAGUAGAAGAAACAGCUAUGGUUGACUUUUGGAAUUGGUUUUCUAUCAUACUCAACUGUUUUCCAAUGGUAUUUAAGUUAGUAUUACAGAAAUUAUUCUGUUGGAUAAUACUACUUAAAUUCGCAUCAGAAUCAUUAGGUUUAGGAAUUUUGUAAGGAGAGGCUCUAAUCUGGACAGGAGGUUCACCGUGAUCUACAGUUAGACUUCGAAGAGGUGGGUGUUCAGAUUCUAUAGUUCUAUCACUAUCAGUAAGUUUCCAUUCAGGAAUUUUCUUUCUAAUAGUAAUAGGGCUUGACUCUUUAAAGGGAUAAGAAAUGUUGUUCUCAGAAGAAUAUAUUUCAAACCAAUCAAAAAACAAUAUAUGAAUUUGAUGCAAAUUCACAAAUUCAUAAUAGAUUUGUUGGAUUUCUUUUCUUUGAUUUAAAAAGUGUUUAAAAAACCAAAGUCUUUUUUCUUUAUUAGUUUCUGAAUAAAAAUCAUUAUGAAGAAGAUUUUUAUCAAGCUCAAAAUUUUUUUCAAUUACAUUUAUGACAUUUUCCGUGACUGCAGAAAAAGUAGGAGAGGUUGGAGGAGAAUGUUCCUUCUCUUCCUGUCUUUGUUCAUGUUGACUACUAGUGUAAAUAGGGUGAGGAACACUAGUGGUAUAGUCAACAGAUCGUAUAGAAGUGCUAGGUAUAUCUGAAGUAGAAAACCUAGGUUGACUUUGAAAUGAGAGAUUUAUAAUAGAAUGGAUUUUUGUAAAUUUUCUUUCCAAUGAUGGAAUACUUGAGCACGACUCUUUAUCGGAAAAUCUGAUUGAAACAGAUCUUCUAAAUGAUAGUUUGACUUUUCCAUCUGAAUACUGAGUCACAUUUUGUAACUCUGUAUUUGGCUCAAGUUGUUUUGGAAUUGCUGGUGGAGCGGCUCCUUCAAGAAUCCAUUCCUCUGGAAGAUGGACAUCUUUCCAUUGGAUUGGUUUUGGAAUGACAGUGUUGGCUCUAGAUAGAUCAGUCUGCAAGAGAAGAGUUUCAUCUCUUUUCGACUGGAAUUUAUGUUGUGUGCUGAAUGCAGUGAUCAUUGCUUUAUAAGAGAUUUUAAAAAUCAAAGCAACUGGGAUGGAUCCCUCAAUCAUAUUGUAAUUAUGAGUCUUGAUUUGUAAAAUCAUGCUUUUUAAAAUAUUUUUAUCUUUAAGAGAAAUUGUUAUGUUUGGAUAACAGUCAAAUGAAAUUGGACCUUUACAAAGACUGGAUUCGAUGCUACUUAGCAAAGAAUCAUUAAAAGAGAUGAAUCGCCCAUCUCUUAGGACAACAAGGAUAGAAGUAUCCAAGCCUUCUUUGGUUAAGGGUUUUAUUCCGACUUGAAUUAGGCCGAUGUGAAUAUAAUUGAAAUUCUUUUCUUUUAAUUUCUUUAAAUAAUGCUCAGAAAACAAGUGAAUUAUUUCAAAUGGAUUUAAAAGAGUUAUGUCACGUUCUUCAGUCUUUAUAAUAUAAUCAUUUUUUAAGAAAUCAAGCUUUUUUGUUCUGUAAAUCUUUUCUUUCGAAAUUUUUGGAAGUUCUCAACAAUCAAUUGCUUUAUCAAAGUUCUCAAUAAAGAAUUCUUCUGAACUCACAACAUGCUUUGAAUCACUAGUCUUCCCGGAAGAAGAGCUAGAAAAGGAAGAUGCUCUACAGUGUAUAAGUUCCAUGAAAAAAAAACCUAUGGUCUAUUUAUGGUUUUGAAAGAAUGGCUACAGGUAUGGUUUUACAGCCCUAUGCGGAAAACUUAUCCUAAGACGGGACUUACUACCAGUAAAGAAUUCACCACACAACAAAACUUCAAAAUAAAACACAAGUCUUUAAACACAAGAUUUAUAAACUGAAUUACACUAUCCUCCCCUUGGCUCUGAUACAAGAAGGAAAUAAUUGAUAUUGUAUCAGAGCCAGCCAGGGUUCGAGCCGCGGGGGAGGAAUGGGCUUAAUAUAUAUCCCAGUCACUGUUACUGGGGCCCGCACCCAUGUGGUGACUCUACCAACACCCAUGUGGGUGAUGUGGCAUUAACGUGAAGGCGUUACCUGGUGAUGGGCGGAUUGCCUACUUAAGUAUAAAGUAGCGCCCCUCCUAACAGCUUAAGCUUUUGGGUACGAUUGGUAAGCGCCUUAAGAUGGUAUGCACCCUAGACUUUUUAGGGUGCAUACACAAUACCUCACAAUUGUGAGGUAUGGAUUCUAACCACUAGGCUAAAGCCUAAUGGCUUGCAGAGCAUCCUGUUUUAAACGUUGGAUCUAAUAGUGCAGUUUGUUCAAAACAAACAUAUCAUCCAAACUACAUAAGGAAACAUAACAAAGAGAUGGACAAAGAACUUAAAAACGGGAGAUAAGACGAUAACCGUCUUCAGGUUCAAAAUCAAAGACACGCGAACGUAGUAUAUGUACGCAAAGAAAGACAGAAAACCGAACAUGGGCUCCUGAGCUGCUCCUCACAAUCCCCAUAAAAGCACCAAGUUGAUAGCAACCAAAUCAGUGAGGUAAAAAUAGAAAAAAAAUGAGCCGUCCACAUGUUUUGGUAAUGCCAGCUCCAGCACAAGGCCAUGUAAUUCCUUUACUGGAGUUUUCACAGUGUCUGGCGAAACAUGGCUUCCGAGUCACAUUUGUUAACGCGGAUUACGAUCACAAGCGAGUAGUGGAAUCAUUGGAGGGAAAGAAUGAUCUAGGGGAGCAAAUCCGUUUGGUUUCGAUACCAGAUGGAAUGGAACCCUGGGAAGAUAGAAACGAUUUAGGAAAGCUAGCUGAAAAACUCUUACAGGCUAUGCCGGGGAAGCUAGAGGAGCUCAUAGAAGAGAUCAACGGUAGAAAAGAUGAAAAACUUGAUUGUUUCAUUGCAGAUGGGUACAUAGCUUGGUCUAUGGAAGUAGCAAAAAAGAUGAACGUCGAGGGGGCCGUCUUUUGGCCUUCAUCAGCAGCAUCAGUGGCCUUGCUAUUUCAUAUCCCCAAACUUAUUGAUGAUGGAAUCAUUGACAGUGAUGGUAUGAUUCUAUGUUAUUCAAUUCCUUACUUUCCGCCAGCAGGCUUUAAUUUUGAUACAUGUCAAAGUAGUAGUUUAUUUUAUGCUAUUUUAAUUUUCUUUGUUUCGUAUUCAACUUCAGGAACUCCUAUGAGCAUGCAGAUGUUUCGGAUUGCGCCAAAUAUGCCUGAAAUGAACACUAGAGACUGUUUUUGGACAAAUAUAGGUGAUUUGACCGCGCAGAAAAAUCUUUUUGAUUUAGUGGAUAAAGACUUAAAAGCCAUGAGAGCGGUAAAUUUCCAGUUGUGUCACUCAACGUAUGAGCUCGAGUCUGAGGCAUUCACCGUGGUUCCGGAACUUCUGCCAAUAGGACCACUUUUGGCUGGCAACCGUCUAGGGAAUUCAGCAGGACACUUCUGGCUCGAAGACUCAAGCUGUUUGGAGUGGCUAGACCAGCAGCAACCGAGCUCUGUCCUUUAUGCUGCUUUUGGCAGCUUUACAAUUCUUGACCAAGUUCAGUUUCAAGAAUUGGCAUUUGGACUAGAACUCUGCAACAGACCAUUUUUAUGGGUUGUAAGGCCAGAUAUUACCACUGAUGCAAAUGAUAGAUACCCAGACGGAUUCCAAGAGAGAGUUUCUGCUCGAGGACGGAUGAUCGGCUGGGCACCUCAGCAGAAGGUUCUUAACCACCCUUCUAUUGCCUGUUUCCUGAGCCAUUGUGGUUGGAAUUCCACCAUGGAAGGUGUUAGCAAUGGCAUUCCUUUCUUGUGCUGGCCAUAUUUUGCUGAACAAUUCCUGAACGAGAAAUACAUUUGUGAUAUUUGGAAGGUGGGAUUGAGGUUUAACAAAAACGAAAGUGGCAUCAUUACAAGAGAAGAAAUUAAGAACAAGGUGGAUCAAGUGCUUGGUCAUCAAGAUUUUAAAGCACGGGCUUUGGAACUCAAGGAAAAAGCCAUGAGCAGCAUCAGAGAAGGCGGUUCCUCUCGCAAGACAUUUCAGAAUUUCCUUGAAUGGGUAAAGACUAACGCCCUGGCAUAUAAUUCCCCAGUAAUGGGCGGUUAAUUCAAAAAAUACUACCUUCGUAGACAAUUAUAGAAGGAUACCUUGGCCAUUGUAACAUACAUUUUUUUCAGUUUUUUUAAUUAAGUCUAUAGGGUUUAGGAAUAUUUUAUUUAACUGAGUUUUAAUUUAAUUUGUUUUCCUAUGCAGUUAAUUUUUUUCAAUGCAGACAAUGAAUGUUAUUAGUUGUUACUAUAGUGUGAGGAGUCAGUCUCUUAAGAAACAAGCGAUUCAUUUGGCACCAAAUAUGCCUGCAAUGAACAGCGCAGAUCUUUUUUGGGCCUGCUUUAAUUUGGCGGCAUAACUACCCAUGCACUGCAGAUUUUGCAUAUUAUAUCCAGUUCAAAUAAAUCAAUUCUGCCUAUUUCCCGCGGGGAGCCAAGCCAAACUGGAUUAGCGUCUCUUGCAUUUUAGAAGAGGAAACAGAAUUGAUGCCAUCCUUGUAUUGCCUAUUUUAUGGAUCACUCAGAAACAUUUGUUUAUUUAGUAUUAGCUUAUGAGAAGAUACUAGUGAGAUUUGUGGCUAAAAAAGCUGAGAUAGGAUGCUGGUGUGGGAGGAGACUAAGCCUAAAAGUAGCCGAUACAAUAUUUAGAUCAAGCUCGAAAUCAUGUUAUCGUUUCUUUUUAUUUUAAGAGGAUGACAUACCUCUUGUUCCCUCAUCUCGUGCAAUAUAUAUUGAGAUUUGAGCACAAGGUAAUCAACUUCUAACCUUCUAAUUCAAAGUAAAAAAAGCAAUGGCUGCCUCUUACCAUACUCGCUCAAACAGCUUUCCACAAGAUCACACUCAAAGACUUCAGAAGAUGAAGAGCAUUUGUAAAGAUUAAGGACUUCUCAAGCUGUUUCUACUUCAUCAUUAGGCCAUGAUUUAAAUUGCCUUCAAGAUUCAUGCGAUUCUGUUGAAAAAAAAAACACUUCAAUUGCCCCUCGUUCAACAAGCUUUAGCCAACGGCCACCAGAAGAAGAAAUGGGUUGAUGAGCUGUUAAAUGGAUCUUUUAUGAUCUUGGAUGUUUGCAGCACUGCUCAGAACGCCUUGCUCCAGAUGAAGGAACCUACACUGGGAAUUCGAUCAUUGCUGUGCAAAAGAAGGGAUGAGGAAAAUUGAAAUCAUAUGAAACAUUUUGAUCAGCAUGAGUUGUAGCAGAAUGCGAUGCUAAAAUUGGCAUUGCCGUUAAAGAGAGAAGACAAAUAAGUUAAAAAGAAUGACUUACACAUAUAUGUCUGGCCAUGCAAAUAUUAAUUAAUCACCGUUCAAAUUUGAAUAUGGCAGCAGCCAAUUCAGCUCCUUUUUUUAACUUCACAAAGCAACCUCCAAAUUGGUACUAAUAUGUGAAUAUGGCAGCAGCGGCAGAAUAUUCAAUCAAAAUUCUAUAUAUACAAAGCAACAUGAGUGUAAUUUUCACAAAAAAAUUGGAUUAAAGAUCGAAUUGAUUCCAAGACUGUUAAGAGUAAAAAACGUAAAAGAUGCAAUUAUGCAUAUUAAUUUUAUUAUGGGAGAAUGAAUUUCUCACUCUUAAUUACCAUUUGGCUCAAAAUAUUGACAAGAAAAAAAUUUGUUUAAGGUAAAUGUGAAAUUUUCAUAUACAAAAUGAUUAUACUAAGAGAUUUACUGAUUAUGCUCUUAAAAAUUUAUCCGAACCCAAAGAACAAAAACAACUUCUUAGACCUUAGUGGGAAUAAAGUUUCAUUUAUUCUCCUUUAAUUAAUUCAUUAACUCUUACUCUUUAUUUAUUAUUACUUAAACUUGAGUGACCGCGGGUAUAAAGCGCAUUCAUGACCAGUUCAACUAGACAAAUGGUCAGUUUUGAAUGUGUCCAUAUUUAGCAUGAUGAAAUAUUUUUCAUAUAUUGGAGGUAUGAUUGACUAACACACACAUCAAUAUCAACGAAUAAUCUGAAUCUCUCGGCAAUGGAAUGGACUUCAAUUUCAUGGGCUAUAGGCCUAAUUCUGGCUAGUCCCUCCCUUGGCUUGAUCUCCAAGCAACUUGACCAUGGCUAGAACCCACAGCUCAUUGCUAGGGCUGCAAGUGCCAUCGGUUCCCUCUUUUGUCUUCCUGUUGGCUUCAUUAAAACCCCAUACAUCUUCCCAUUUUAUAUUGCAGCUAUUGUUGCAUUAUACAUUGUUGCUUCAGCCUCCCACACUCGCCAUCUUGGUCUUAUGGCUCGCGGCUACACUGGACCAACACUUAAACUUAGCCAAUCCCCAACUAGAAGAGGGCUCUCAGGCUGGUUCUCGGUAUACACCACUGCUGCUGGUGGCUUAGGCUCUGCCAUUUUCUCAGCAUUCACUUACCAUAUGCUUAGGAACAAAAAGGGCCCAUUUGUUAGCCUCUGGAUUGUGUCCAUUUUCAGGGUCCUCAAAUGGCUCGUUGGCAUGCUCCAUAUUGUCACACUGAGCCAGGGGCAAUCACCAACGCAACCUCCUCUAUGCCCGAAUCAUAUUCACUGUCCCUUUUUAAAAAUCCUCAUGCAAUUACAAGCCUGAUUGUAAUUUUCAUGUCAUCAUUUUCAUCAAUGUGCAUUUUCACUGAGGGGUUAUUUUUUUUCCUAGGCCCGUUGUGCCUCGAGGCAAUUUUCUUCCUCUACUUCUGGAUAAUUUACUUCAUCUUCCCAUCAUUUUCAAUGACACUAUUGCAACCGUUACAACAUGUUAUCAAAGCAGAUGCUGUGAGAAUGCAACUUCUGGUUUUCCUCUUAGCUCUGUUGACUUCAGGUAUGGGAUUCUACUACAAGGAAAAGAACUGGCAGAGGCACCAUGUACUGCUUUUUGCUGCAAUUCAAAGCACUUCUGCAGGGCUUUUGCAUGCUUUUGGGAGAGUUUUGUUGCUAGAUUGUGCACCACAUGGCAAAGAAGGUGCUUUUUCUGUGUGGCACUCGUGGGUAAAAGCACUAGGAACUUGUACUGGCUUUGCUGUGGCAUCAGCGAUCAGUGGAAAUGUGAGCACUGCUUUUGGGGUUUCAUUUUUGGCUGCCACGAUCGGGAUUCUUAUUGUGAUUUUUGGGGACAUCAGUGAUGUUGGUGGAGACAUGGCUGCUGGGCAUUUGCAUGAAGCGAGUGAGAAGGGAUCCCAAGUGCCUGGUUUAGAUACUAGCAUUAUUAUAACGGUACAUGCUCAUGAAGAAAUUGCUCAAGUAAUGCAAGUGAACUUUAUCAAUUAGUCAAAUCAGUUAUCCUAUAUAAGUAAACUAGGAGUGGAGCUAGGGUCGGCUAAUGAGUAAUGAUGCCUUUGCUUUCAUUUUCUUUUUUGGCUUAUUAUCUUUUCAUAAUUACAAAACUAACUUAUAUACUUUGAAAAUGUGUUAACAAGAUUUUUGAAUUUUAAUGGAAAACAAGUAAUUAUGUUAAAAAUGUCAUUUAUUAUUCUAUUCAUUUAUGACCUGAUUAGUAAACAAAUUUUAAACGAAUAAUUGAAUAAGUGAACUGAAACCUGGGUUUGAUCGUUUAUUUAAUGAAUCAAAAUAAAUUUGCUUAUUUAUUAAAUAAAUCAAUAAUUUCAAUUCUAUACAUAUUUAAUUUGACUCGAAUAGAAUUGAAAUAAAAAUCCUAAGCCAGAGUAUCACCCAUAAUUAGGGUCGGCAAAAAAGUCUGGGUUGGACCUAGCAUCAUAAAAUCAUGGCUAUGGCUAAAACAUUUAAAGCCCACUCGGGAUUAAAGGCUUUUGCAAAAAGCUUGUGCUCUUUAAUUUAUAACUUAAAAAAUUAAAUUAAAAAAUCAUUUUUAAUUUGAAAGAGUUAAAUUUCUGGUUCCAUUCUGGAUUAACAUCCUUUUUAAUAUAACAUAGGUCUUAAGCUUCUGUGUAAAUUACAAUGCAUAAACAUAAUUAAUAUCUAAAAAAUAAAGAAUUUUAAUUUACAAUAAUAAAUAAUAAGAAGAAGAGAAAAAGGAAUAAAGAAAAAAAUGCAAAUAUUUGCUUAGAAGUGACUGGUUCAGGCCCAUUCAAGGGAGCAAUUAAUUUUUUUUUUGUUUAAUAAUAAUAAUCAUCUUAAUUUAAAUUUUUUUAACAUACAACUUAAUUAAAAAUUUAUUUAACAAAAUUAUUGAAGGCCCAAGCCCAAGCCCGCUCAAGUUGGAUGAACCUAAUAUCAACUAUAUGGAUCUGAUCUUGAGAAAAUCCGGCCCAAACUGCAAAUUGCCAACCCUCCCUGUAAUUGACACCACGCGUGUGUUGCAAAUUAUAAUAUUAUUUAUUGAGCAGAUGCUAGCGGAAGGAUGUGAAAAAUUGUUUUAGUUACCUUAUUUAGUUAGGACUUGACUAGCUUACAGAAUCUGUAAGCUACAGACCGCAGCAUCAGACGUUGGAUGUGGCUGGAUGUGGAGUGAGAAACUAAACAAUACAAAAUGGGAUGGUGGGAUGACGGGAGAUGUUUGUUAUAGAAUCUGUACCAUAGAUAAGAAGAUAACCACUAACCAGAAAAGUUAUUGUAGACAGAGCAUUAAAAAUUGGGGUCCAGAAAAGUUGGAGCCGAGCAUCCUGUUUUAAACGUUGGAUCUAACGGAUCAAACAUACCACCCAAAUCGCAAAAGGAAACAAAACAAAGGGAUGAACAAAGAACUUAAAAUCGGGAGAUAAGAAGAUAACCACUAACCAGCUUGAGGUUCAAAAUUAAACACAUAUAACAUUCUACUUGUACGGAAAGAAAGACAGAAAACCAAUCAUGGGCUGCUGAGCUGCUCCUCACAAUCCCUAUAAAAGCACAAGGUUGAUAGAAACCAAAUCAGUGAGGUAAAAAUUAAAAAAUAAAAUAAAAUAAAAUGAGCAGUCCACACGUUUUGGUGAUGCCUGGUCCAGCACAGGGCCAUGUAAUUCCUUUACUGGAGUUUUCGCAAUGUCUGGCAAAACAUGGCUUCCGAGUCACAUUCGUUAAUACGGAUUAUUAUCACAAGCGGGUAGUGGAAUCACUGCAGGGAAAGAAUUAUCUAGAGGAGCAAAUCCGUUUGGUUUCGAUCCCAGAUGGGAUGGAACCCUAGGAAGAUAGAAACGAUUUCGGAAAGCUAAUUGAAAAUUUUCUAAAGGUUAUGCCGGGGAAGCUGGAGGAGCUCAUAGAAGAGAUCAACAGUAGAGAAGAUGAAAAAAUUGAUUGUUUCAUUGCAGAUGGGAACAUGGGUUGGUCUUUGGAGGUAGCAAAAAAGAUGAACGUCAGGGGGGCUGUCUUUUGGUCUUCAUCUAGCAUCAGUGGCCUUGGUAUUUCGUAUCCCCAAACUUAUUGAUGAUGGAAUCAUUGACAGUCACGGUAUAAUUCCAUGUCAUUUAAUUCCUUACUUUCCUCCAACAAACUUUAAUUUUGAUGCUUGUCAUAGUAGUAGUCUUCAAAAAAAAAAAAAAGUUUACUUUAUGCUACUGUUAUUUUCUUUGUUCUGUAUUCAACUUCAGGAACUCCUCUGAGCAUGCGGAUGUUUCGAAUUGCACCAAAUAUGCCUGAAAUGAACUCUAGAGACUGUUUUUGGGCACAUAUUGGUGACUUGACCACGCAAAAGAUGUUUUUUGAUUUACUGGAUAGAAACACGAGAGCAAUGAUAGCAGUAAAUUUCCACUUUUGUAACUCAACAUAUGAGCUCGAGUCUGAAGCAUUCACCAUGUUUCCGGAACUUCUGCCAAUAGGACCACUUUUGGCAAGCAACCGCCAAGGGAGUUUAGCAGGAUACUUCUGGCGCGAAGACUCAAAUUGUUUGAAAUGGCUAGACCAACAACAACCAAGCUCUGUCAUUUAUGCUGCUUUUGGCAGCCUUACAAUUCUUGUCCAAGUUCAGUUUCAAGAAUUAGCAUUGGGACUAGAACUUUGCAACAGACCAUUUUUAUGGGUUGUGAGGCCAGAUAUUACUACUGAUGCAAAUGAUAGAUACCCAGAAGGAUUUCAAGAGAGAGUUGCUGCUCGAGGACAGAUGAUCAGCUGGGCACCUCAGCAGAAGGUUCUUAACCACCCUUCUAUUGCCUGUUUCCUGAGCCAUUGUGGUUGGAAUUCCACCAUGGAAGGUGUCAGCAAUGGCAUUCCUUUCUUGUGCUGGCCAUAUUCUGCUGAUCAAUUCCUGAACGAGAGAUACAUUUGUGAUUUUUGGAAGGUGGGAUUGAAGUUUGACAGAGACGAAAGUGGCAUCAUUACAAGAGAAGAAAUUAAGAACAAGGUGGAUCAAGUGCUUGGUGAUCAAUAUUUUAAAGCACGGGCUUUGGAACUCAAGGAAAAAGCCAUGAGUGGUGUCAGAGAAGGUGGUUCCUCUUACAAGACAUUUCAGAAUUUCCUCCAAUGAGUAAAGACAUAAGCACUGGCACAUAGUUCCCAGGUACUGGGCAGCUAAUUCAAAAAAUACUACCUUCAUAGACAAUUAUAUAAGAAUUCCUUGGCCAUUGUAACAUCUAUCUUCUAAGUUUUUUUUAUUAAAUUUAUAGAGUUUAGGAAUAUUUUAUUUAAUUGAGUUUUAAUUUAAUUUGUUUUCCUAUUUUGGUAAUUUUUUUCAGAGCAGACAAUGAAUGUCUCUUAAGAAACAAGUGAUUCAUUUGGCACCAAAUAUGCCUACAAUGAACACUGCGGAUCCUCUUUGGGCCUGUUUUAAUUUGGCGACUUAACUACCCAUCCAUGCAUUCAAGGUGCAGCCUCAACUCCAUCCAUGCACUGCAGAUUGUGCAUAUUAUAUCCAGUUCAAAUAAAUCAAUUCUGCAAGGACACACGAGUUUCACAGCCACCCCGUUUCCCGCGGGGAGGCAAGCCAAACUGGAUUACCGUCUCUUGCAUUUUAGAAGAGGAAACAGAAUUGAUGCCAUCCUGGUAUUGCCUAUUUUAUGGAUCACUCGGAAACAUUUGUUUAUUUAGUAUUAGCUUACGAGAAGAUACUAGUGAGAUUAGCGGCUAAAAAAACUGAGAUAGGAUGCUGGUUUGGGAGGAGACUAAGCCUAAAAGUAGCCGAUAUACUAUUUACAUCAAGCUUGAAAUCAUUUUAUUGUUUCUUUUUAUUUUAAGAAGAUGAGAUACCUGUUGUUCCCUCAUCUCGUGCUAUACAUUUUGAGAUUUUAGCACAGGGUAAUCAACUUCUAGUCUUCUAAUUCACAGCAACAAAAGCGAUGGCUGCCUCUUACCAUACUCGCUCAAACAGCUUUCCACGAGAUCACACCCACAGACUUCAGAAGUUGAAGAGCAUUUUAGAAUAUUAAGGACUCCUCAAGCUGCUUCUACUUCAUCGUUAGGCCGUGAAUUAUUCUGCCUUAGUUAAAAUUGUUUAAUGGACUGUUUGGUUAACAAGAAAAUGAAAGAAAGUUGAAAGAGUAAAAACUGCAGUUUAGAGAAUUCUAGAAUAUUAUUCGAUUCAUUCUGAAUGAAUGUACAAAGUGAUUACAUUGUUGUUUAUAUACACAGCUGAAUAUAACAGCUCGAGCUUAUUACUAACUCUAACUAAUCAAAACGAAUCUUCACGUGUGCUGGUAAUUACAUAACCACCAGGUGCCACAUGGACAGCCAAAUCAUCAAUCUUUAACCGUGUGCUGUAGCUGCUGCAAUCCUCUGUUUGGUUUAUCGUACUACAAACAGGAUGAGCUUCCUUAACAUCCUCCCUCAAGCUCAAUGGUUUGUUGAUGACAUUGAGCUUGGAUCUGAAAUAGCUGAACGUAGCUAGAGAUAAAGGUUUGGUGAGAAUGUCAGCCACUUGCUCUUCAGUAGGAAUGUAUCUUACUUCUAAUUCCUUGCUAAGAAUCUUAUCUCUGAUGUAAUGCACAUCUAAUUCAAUGUGCUUGGAUUUAGAGUGAAAAACAGGAUUUCUAGCUAGCUCCCCUGCACUUUAAUUAUCACACCAAAGCACUGAAGUAGGCAGCUGAGCUAUGUUCAAUUCUGAAAACAAAGAUUGAAGCCAGGAAAGUUCUGAACAUGCUGAUGAUAAGGCCCUGUAUUCACUCUCAGUGCUGGACUUUGCUACAACCCCUUGCUUUUUAGAGGACCAAGAAAUGAGAUUGUUGCCAAGAUAAAUGCAAUAUGCUCUAAUGGAUUUCCUAUCAUCAAUAUCACAAGCCCAAUCUGCAUCAGAAUAGCCAUUUAAACCAGUAACUCCAAGUGAUCCCCCCUGCUGUAGAUAAAGACCAUGAGUAAUGGUAGCUUGAAGAUAUCUUAGAACCUUUUUACAAGCUAACCAAUGCUAGAUUGUGGGAGAACUCAGAUACUGACUGAGUUUGUGUACAGAAUAUGCAAUAUCAAGUAUUGUUAGUACUAAGUACUGAAGACCUCCAACAAUGCUCUUAUAGAGAGUUGGAUCUUCAAAUUCCUGUCCCAAAGGUCAUUUUGCUUACCUUUCCAGCUUAAGACCUGUAUUGAAGGGUGUGUCAGUCCCCUUACAGUCUUGCAUUGAAGCUCUACUUAACAGAUCCUUAAUGUAUUUGGUUUGAGAAAGGUGCAUCCCAUGAUGCGUAUAACAUACUUCCACACCAAGAAAAUAAGCAAGCAAACCCAAAUCCUUUAAAGCAAACACCUUGCUUAAUUUAGCAAAAAACUCUUCCAAAACAGCAGAAUCAGGACCUUUGACUAGGAUAUCAUCGACAUAAAUCAGAACUAUAAUUAGCCCUUUAGUGUCAUGCUUAAUGAACAAAGAAGUGUCUGCUUUAGAAUUGAAGAAGUGACGGGUUGUAAGGCAAUGUUUCAGUUUGUCAUACCAGACUCUUGGAGCUUGUUUAAGCCCAUAAAGGGCUUUGUUGAGCUUGCAUACAUAACCUUCUUUAACCGUGAAACCCUCUGGUUGUUUCAUGUAUACAUCUUCUGUUAAAUCUCCAUUAAGAAAGGCAUUAUUUAUGUCAAUUUGCCUAACCUUCCAGCCUUGCAUCACAGCCAAACUCAGAAUAACUCUGACUGUUGAGGAUUUAAUUACAGGACUGAAAGUUUCUGAAUAGUCAACCCCUGCAGUUUGAUGGAAUCCUUUUGCAACAAGUCGAGCUUUAUGCUUAGAGAUUGAUCCAUCAGUAUUGUAUUUAGUUCGAAAUAUCCACUUGCAACCAACAACCUUGAAAUCUGAACACAUUGGUACAAGACUCCAAGUUCUGUUUUUUAUGAGGGCAUCAUACUCAGCUUGCAUUGCAGCUUUCCAGUUUGGAUCUGACAAUGCUUCAGAAGGGGUAUUUGGUUCAAGGCUGUUGUGAGAAGUUAAAAAGGCCUUUGGUUUAAAAAUGCUAGCCUUUGCUCUGGUAAUCAUGUGGUGAGUUGAGACUAUGGAUUUGGUCUGAGAAUUAGGGAUUGGAGUGGGAGAAGAUGGAUGAGAUAAAGGCAUUUGAGCUGAAGAUGAUGGGCAGUGGGAUGUAUUUUCACUUAGUGAAUUGGAAUAUGAAAGUAUAGGUAUUGUACUAGGUGAAAUGGAUGAAGUAUUUGUAUCUAGACAGGGAGAAAUAAGAUCAGUACAUGUUGCAUCAACUCCAAAGGUGUUGAGAUUGCUAUUAGAUGUUGGCAAGGAAUAUGCCUGUAAAAGAUUGUAUUGAAAAGAUGGAGUGUUUUGUUGUAAAGAAUGAUGAUUGAAAAGUGAUAAAUAUGGAAAAGAAUUUUCAUAAAAAAGAACAUGACUUGAUAUAUACACUUUUCCAGAAGGAUGCAAACAUUUAUAUUCUUUAUGGAGAGGACUAUAGCCUAUGAAGAUACACUUGGAAGUAUGAAAAUAGAAUUUAUGUUUGUUAUAAUCUCUGAAAAAAGGAAAACAUGAACAACCAAAGCUUCUAAGAAAUUUGUAAUCAGGUUUCAAAUGAAAAAAAUAGCUUCAUAGGGUGAUUUCAUGGAUAAUGUAGGAGUGGGUAAUCUAUUUAUGAUGUAAGUGGCUGUAUGAAAGGAGUCCCACCAGAAUUUUAUGGGUAAAGUUGCUUGUGCAAGCAAGGUUAAACCAAGUUCUGUGCUAUGUCUAUGUUUUCUCUCUACUGUUCCAUUUUGAUUGUGUGUAAGGACAAGAAUGCCUGAAUGUAAUGCCUUCUUGAUGAAGAAAAGGGACAAAGGAUCUGAAUUCACCACCCCAAUCAGAUUGUAGGCAUUUAAUGGAUUUGUUAAGCUGUUUUUCAACCUGAGUUUUGAAGACUUUGAAGACAGAGAGAGUUUCAUUUUUGGUUUUUAAUGGAAAUAUCCAGGUGAAUCUUGUAAAGUCAUCAACAAAGCUUACAUAAUAUCUAUAGCCUUGUAAAGAAAGCUCAGGGGAUGGUCCCUAUAAAUCAGUGUAUAGAAGUUCUAAAGGACUGUUGGUUUUGAUGAAGCUAGUUGGAAAAUGUAAUCUAUGUAACUUUCCCAUCAUACAAGCAUCACAAGAUUCAAAAGAUUUAUUUCCAUUGAUUGCCUGUAAGGCUGGAUAAGUUUUGAUUACAUGAUCUAAAAUUUUUUAACUUGGAUGUCCUAGCCUUUGGUGCAAAAUAGAAGUACUUAACAAGCAUCUAGAGUUCAUACAUGGAGUUGAGACAGUGUAUGAACAUAAGGUUUUAUUUUGCAAAUCAGAAGAAACAACAAAAAGCAUUGAAAGAGGAACAACUUGAGCACCUGACUCAACAGUUGUGACAUGAUUUUGAGAAUGGGUUUUAUUGGGUGACAUCAACAGCAAUCUGUAUAAACCUUUGUCAGCCUUGCCCUGUAGUAUGAUCAAAUUCUUCACCUUGUCCUUCACAAAGCAAAAUUUGUCAGUAAAUUCAACUACCACAUUAUUGUCUUUGGUUAAUUGGGAUAUACUAAUAAGGUUUUUGGUGAUUUGAGGAACUAGUAGUAUAUUGUGCAGGUUAAGUGUGAAUGAAGCUUUUGUAUUAUAAUCAUGCAUCUUUAGAGUGGCAUGACCAAGAUGAGUAAUGUUUAGACUAGCACCAUUACCAACUACAAGUUUAGAUAUAUCUGCAAAAGGCUCAGCAACAUGCAUGUUGUUCAUGUCAUUAGUGAGGUGAUGUGUUGCCCCACUGUCAAGAUACUAGUUGGUAUCUGAAGCACCCUCCAUGUUUGCUAGAUAAGCAGACUUUGGAUUUCUGUUUGAUGCUUACUUAUAAGCACCUGAAGCAAUGAACUCUUCAAGUUUCCAGCAGAUAUUAGAUGUAUGACCUGUCUUAAGGCAAAUUUGACAGGUAGGUUUGGAAGCAUUCCAUUAAGGUUUAGCAUUUCCAGAUGUCUUGUUAUUAUUGAAGUUGCCAUAUCCACUAGGAUUCUGAUUCCAAUUCCCUCUAUUUCUUUUAUUAUCACCAGAAUAACCUCUUUGUUGAAAAUUAACACCAGAUAAAUUUCCUCCACUUGCUCCAGCACCUCCAUAAUUUUCUUUAUAGCCACCAUAGCCAUAAUGUCCAGCAUUACCAAAACCAGGAUUAUAUCCAUAGCCACCAAAAUUCUUACCUCCAGAUAUAAAACCUUUCUUAAAGCCUCUGUUCUAGACUAAAUUUGCCUCAAAAUUCUAUUCCACAUCCAUACCAGCAAGCAUGUGUGCUUGUUGUUCUAUUCUAGCUUCUUGAGUUAACAACAUUGCAUAUGCCUCAUUUACAUUCAUUUUACCAACUCUUGUUUGACCAGUUAUGUAUGUAGCAACAGAAUUAUAUUCAGGUCAUAAACCAGAAAGUAUGUGCAUAAUCAAAUCAUCAUCACUUAAAGCACUUCUAGCAGUAGCCAUAUUAUCAGCUAUGUUCUUCAUCUUAAUGAAAUAAUCAGUGACUUUCAUAUCAUCUUUCCUAGUUGAAUUCAUCAUGUACCUCAGAUGCAACAAUUUAGAUUUAAACUGUGAACCAAAUUGGACUUCAAUAGCUUUCCAUACCUCAAGUGAAGUUUCUAAACUGAAGACUAGACUGAAGACCAUACUGAUGAUGCCUUCACUCAUUGAAGAAAGCAGCCAUCCAAGCAGCAUCUGAUCUUGUGAUCUCCAGGUGACAAACUCUGGAUUUUCAACAAAUCUGAGGUCAUCACCACUUCUUUGAGCAGUGUGAGAUGGUGGAGUUACAGAAUCAUCAAUGAAUUUUUCAAGUCUAUUUCCACGAAUGAAAGCAAGAACUUGAGAUCGCCAAAUCAAGUAAUUUGAUUGAUCCAGCUUAACAGGAGUGUUGAAUGAAAAGGUGACUGUGCUCGUAUUAACGGCAGCAUUGUGAACUGCAUUAGAAGAUGAAGCAAGAUGUACUGAAGCCAUACUGGCUCUGAUACCAAGUUAAAAUUGUUUAAUGGACUAUUUGGUUAACAAGAAAAUGAAAGAAAGUUGAAAGAGUAAAAACUGCAGUUUAGAGAAUUCUAGAAUAUUAUUCGAUUCAUUCUGAAUGAAUGUACAAAGUGAUUACAUUGUUGUUUAUAUACACAGCUGAAUAUAACAGCUUGAGCUUAUUACUAACUCUAACUAAUCAAAACAAAUCUUCACGUGUGCUGGUAAUUACAUAACCAUCAGGUGCCACCUGGACAACCAAAUCAUCAAUCUUUAACCUUGUGCUGUAGCUGCUGCAAUCCUCUGUUUGGCUUAUCGUACUACAAGCAAGAUGAGCUUCCUUAACAGCCUUCAAGAUUCAUGAAAUUCUGUAGAAAAAAAAAACUUCAAUUGCCCCCCGUUCAACGAGCUUUAGCCCACGUCCCCCAGAAGAAGAAAAGGGUUGAUGAGCUGUUGAAUGGAUCUUUGAGGAUCUUGGAUGUUUGCGCACUGCUCAGAACGCCUUGCUGCAGAUGAAGGAAUCUACACUAGGAAUUCGAUCAGUGCUAUGAAAAAGAGGGGACGAGGAAAAUUGAAAUCAUAUGAAACAUUUUGAUCAGCAUGAGUUGUAGCAGAGUGCGAUGCUAAAAUUAGCAUUGCUGUAAAAGAGGGAAGACAAAUAAGUUAAAAAGAAUGAUACCGAAACACCUUCUUACAUAUGAACAAACCGAGGCUUAUAAAUAUAUAUCAGGCAAAUUGAAUUCUUGAAAGUGCCAGCACCAACUGGCCAUGCAAAUAUUGAUUAAUCACUGUUUCAAUAUAAAGCCAAUUCAGCUCCUUUUUUUCAUCUUCACAAAGCAACCUGCAAAUUGGUACUAAUAUUUGAAUAUGGCAGCAGCAGCAGAAAGAAAACAUGAGGUUCUAAGUGAUGAAGGAAUAUCGGUAUCAGUUGAAGAUCAGGAAGUGUGUGAAGACAUGACAGAGGCACACGAUGCUGCAAUGAAAAUUGAGAGGUCAAGGGAGCUUAUGUGGCCUACUCAGAGCUGCAAGAAAAGCCAUCGCAGCUUGAAAUUUAGAGACUUCAUUGAUACAACGUUUGAGCCAGUUGCUUUUCCUCUCAUAAUCAUCUAAAAAUGAUGAUGGUGAUGAUCAAGGUUGGGGACAAACCCCAAGUUGGGCAUUGCUUGUAUUCUCAGAGAGAUGAAACUGUAAGUUCUUUUUCUAGCUACAUCUAUUGCUACUUAGUAGAACAUUCAAUCAAAAUUCUAUAUAUACAAAGAACAUGAGUGUAACUUACACAAAAAGUUGGAUUAAAGAUCGAAUUGAUUCCAAGAUUCUUAGCACAAAAAGAGUAAAAAAGGUAGAAGAUGCAAUUAUGCAUAUUUAAUUUUAUUAAGGGAGAAUGAAUUUCUCAUUCUUAGUUUUACCUUUUGGCUCAAAAUAUUGACAAGAAAAAAAUAUUGUUUUAAGGGUAAAUGUGAAAUUUUCAUAUACAAAGAGAUUUACUAAUUAUGCUAUAAAAAAUUUAUCCAAACCCAAGGAAUAAAAACAACUUCAUAGUGGGAAUAAAGUUUCAUUCAUUCUCCUUUAAUUAAAUCAUUAGCCGAACUCUUACUUUUUAUUAAUUAUUUCUUAAGCUUGAGUGACCACGGGUAUAAAGUGCAUUCAUGGCCAGUCAAACUAGACAGAUGAUCAGUUUUGAAUGUGUCCAUGUUUAGCAUGAUGAAAUAUUUUUCAUAUAUUGCAGGUAUGAUUGACUAACAAACACAUCAAUAUCAACGAAGAAUCUGAAUCUCUCAGCAAUGGAAUGGACUCCAAUUUCAUGGGCAAUAGGCCUAAGUCUGGCUAGUCCCUUCCUUGGCUUGAUCUCCAAGCACCUUGACCAUGGCUACAACCCAUAACUCAUUGCUAGGGCUGAAACUGCCAUCUGUUCCCUCUUUUGUCUCCCUGUUGGCUUCAUUAAAACCCCAUACUUCUUCCUAUUUUAUAUUGCAGCUAUUGUUGCAUUAUACAUUGUUACUUCAGCCUUCCACACUCGCCAUCUUUGCCUUAUGGUUCGCGGCUACAUUGGACGAUCAACACUUAAACUCCGCCAAUUCCCAACUAGAAGAGGGGUCUCUGGCUGGUUCUCGGUAUACGCCACUGCUGCUAGUGGCUUAGGCUCUGCCAUUUUCUCUGCUUUCACUUACCAUAUGCUUAGGAACAAAAAGGGACCAUUUGUUAGCCUCUGGAUUGUGUCCAUUUUCAGGGGCCUCAAAUGGCUCGUUGGCAUGCUCCAUAUUGUCACACUGAGCCAGGGGCAAUCACCAACGCAACCUCCUCUAUGCCCGGAUCAUAUUCCCUGUCCCUUUUUGAAAAUCCUAAUGCAAUUACAAGCCUGAUUGUAAUUUUCAUGUCAUCAUUUUCAUCAAUGUGCAUUUUCACUGAGGGGUUAUUUUUUUUCCUAGGCCAGUUGUGCCUCGAGGCAAUUUUCUUCCUCUACCUCUGGGUAAUUUACUUCAUCUUCCCAUCAUUUUCAAUGACACUACGGCAACCGUUACAACAUACUAUCAAAGCAGAUGCUGUGAGAAUGCAACUUCUGGGUUUCCUCUUAGCUCUGUUGACUUCAGGUACGGGAUUCUACUACAAAGGAAAGAACUGGCAAAGGCACCAUGUACUGCUUUUUGCUGCAAUUCAAAGCACUUCUGCAGAGCUUUUGCAUGCUUUUGGGAGAGUUUUGUUGCUAGAUUGUACGCCACAUGUCAAAGAAGGUGCUUUUUCUGUAUGGCACUCGUGGGUAAAAGCACUAGGAACUUGUGCUGGCUUUGCUGUGGCGUUAGCGAUCAGCGGAAAUGUGAGCACUGCUUUUGGGGUUUCAUUUUAGGCUGCUGCGAUCGGGAUUCUUAUUUUGAUUUUUGGGAACAUCAGUGAUGUUGGUGGAGCCAUGGCUGCUGGGCAUUUGCAUGAAGAUAGUGAGAAGGGAUCCCCUGUACCUAGUUUAGAUACUAGCAUUAUUAUAAAGGAACUGCUUAAAUAGUGCAAGUGAACUUUCGCGGACAGUCAAAUAUGUUAUCCUUUAUAAGUAAAUAACUGAGGCACGCAUGAUUUUCAUUUUUUUUUACCCUUUUUUUUUCUUUUUUUCUCUUUUGGGUGAAUAAGUAUAGCCCAGAUUCUGUUAAUUGUGAGCAACUUCUUGUGUGCCUUUUACACUUCCAUUGGUCAUUGCUUUGAAUUAAUGUAAUAUUGAUUUAAUUGAAAUGAUAAUUCUUUUUUUUUUUUGUUCCUAUCAUUGCCUAAACUCGUUUAAUUAACUGGUAUGUUAAAAUUUGUGACAUUGGUAUAUAAAAUUCUAUCUAUAAAAUUUUCUGCCCUGUAGCCAUACGAACGUAACGACACCAUUUUUUUUUAUGCACAGGCAUUGCCUUCUAAGUGUGAGGCAAUCCAAGCUGGGCAGCAGGCUUUAUCACUGUUUUGUAAUCUGUAAAAUGUUGAGAUCAAUAGUUCCCCCGUGGAGGACAAAAAUAGCUAAAAAAAAAAAGUAUAUCUUUGACUUUCGAAAAUAUCUAGAGCACUUCACUUGAAGUGCUUUGUGAACACAAGAAGUUAUAUAAAAUUAUCUUUUCAUUGAAAAAAUAUAAAAAAAAUUUAUAAUAAAUAUAACUUUUUUAAUAUUUUAAUUUACAUAGUCAGUCAAAAAAAUUAUUUAAACAUAACUCAUUCAGAGCUCAUAAAGCAUAUUAAUAUUAGAGGUGGGAAAAUGAAUUGAUGAAUUGAAUCCGUAUCAAAUCUAAUCAAAAUUCAAUAAAUUCGGAUUCAAUUUGUUUAUUAAAUGAACGGUAAUCUUAAGGCUCAAAUUUAACUCAUUUAAUAAAUAAAUAUUUGUUUAUAAUUUGUUUAAUUCAUUUAAUAUACAAAAUUAAAUUAAACAAUAAAUGAAAACAACAAAUAAAGAAAUGAAUGGAUUCACCUAAAUUUGUUUACAAUCUGAUCAAAAAAAUCAAUUCAUUACAACUAGAUUCAAGCUACACGCAAAUACAAUCAAAAACCAAAAAUCAAUUCAUUACAACUAGAUAAUAUUAUCUAUUGAGCAUAUGCUAGCAGAAGGAUGUGAAAAAUUGUUUUAGUUACCUUAUUCUAGACAGAGUAUUUAAAGUUAGGAUCUGGUAAAGUUGGAGCAGAGCGUCCUUUUUUUUAUUAUUAUUUAUUACAUGAUACUAUUGUUCAACAAUACAACUCAUAUUACAUGAUACUGUAACUGAUAUUUAUAAAUCAGACUAUUACUGAGACUGAUUUACAUUAAUUCUUAUUAAGUCCGCCCAGAUUUUUACCCUCUCUAAUAUUCGAGGGAUGUCUACUCCACCCACAUUUUGAAAAAGAGAAGAUUGUCUUCACUCAAUUUGAGAAAGAAAAUUAAACUCCCACAAUACCUCACAAUUGUGAGGUAUGAGUUCUAACUAUUAGGCUAAAGCCUAAUGGCUUGCAGAGCGUUCUGUUUUAAACGUUGGAUCUAAUAGCGCAAUUUGUUCAAAACAAACAUAUCAUCCAAACCACAUAAGGAAACAUAAAAUAGAGAUGGACAAAGAACUUAAAAACGGGAGAUAAGACGAUAACUGUCUUCAGGUUCAAAAUCAAAGACACGCGAACGUAGUAUAUGUAUGCAAAGAAAGACAGAAAACCGAACAUGGGCUCUUGAGCUGCCCCUCACAAUCCCCAUAAAAGCACCAAGUUCAUAGCAACCAAAUUAGUGAGGUAAAAAUAUAAAAGAAAAUGAGUCGUCCACAUAUUUUGGUAAUGCCAGCUCUAGCACAAGUCCAUGUAAUUCCUUUACUGGAGUUUUCACAAUGUCUGGCAAAACAAAGCUUCCGAGUCACAUUUGCUAACACAGAUUACGAUCACAAGCGGGUAGUGGAAUCAUUGGAGGGAAAGAAUGAUCUUGGGGAGCAAAUCCGUUUGGUUUCGAUACCAGAUGGAAUGGAACCCUAGGAAGAUAGAAACGAUUUAGGAAAGC
rnacentral:lncRNA from 1 species